GUGUCAUCAAAUUUGAACCCUCUGCUGAUGGAGGUUCAAUCUGCAAAACCACUAACACAUACUACCCCAAAGGUGGUGCUCAGAUCGGUGAGGAACACCUCAAGGGAGGAAAAGAGAUGGGUUUGGGAAUGGUUAAGGCUGUUGAGGCUUACCUCCAUGCAAAUCCUACUGCCUACAACUAAUUAUAAUGAAUGCUACUGAAGGACUCUUCGACAUAUUUUCUUCAAGAUUGAAGUACACACUGAGGGUGUGUUUCCUUUUUUGCUUGGUUUGCUUUAAGCUGUUUGGUUAAGUUAAAAACAAAAUUGAAUCAUAGAGAGAACAAAAAAAAUAUAGUGUUUCUUAUGGAGAAAAAAAUGGAGCUGAUGCCUAAAAUCUCACAUGGAUCCAACAAGGAUAUGCUCAAAGUUGGAAAAAUGUGCUAUAAUUAUGAUUACUCCUUUAUGAAAUAAAGCUGAAAGCAGCUCAAUUUCUUUUUGUUUUCCAUAUUAUUCAAUUUCGUUGUCGAUUUUUGAUAGUUGUAUUUUUUUUAUUGCUUUAAUAAGGGCUAUGAUUGGAUAUCCUGUUAUGCCAUUGGCUGUCGAUGCUAAACCUGAUAAAUUAGAUGGAUCAUCCAAAUAAAGACAAAAUUGGCUAUGUAAACAUUGGUGAGGGACUAUUUCAGCUUAAGAAAAAUAGUUGAGGGACUAAAUUGGCUUAUAAUAAAAUUAGGGACUACUUCAGCUUUGUAAAAAUAGUUGAGAGACUAAAUUGACUCAUAAAAAGUUUAGGGACUAUUUUGACAUUAACGAAAUAGUUUUGAGACUAUAAACAUUAGGUCACAAUGUUGAAAUAUCAAAACCCAUGUUUGGGACCAAAACUCAUAGAACUUCUUCACGUCGCUAGCGAAAUUUGAUUCUGAAGUAAUGCUAAUUUUAUUUAUUAUUUGUUUCCUUGCUGGUCUUCUGUCUUUUUGGUUACAAUAUUAAAAUGUAUCCAUAAUUUUCAAUUCCAAAAGUGUUGAAUAUUUAAACGAAUUCUAGAAAGGGCACUGAGAGUCAAAAUCUUAUUCAAACAGCCAGCCAUCUCAGAGUACAUAUUUUUUUAUUAUCAGGUUCAAAAUGUAUCUAUUGCAAUUUUUGAAUGAUCAGCCAUGACUAAGAGAAUAAAAUAAUUCACUUGCUGUUUUUAGAUGUGAAUUCAUGACUGUCAGUAGUCUAUAAAUACACUUAUUGCUCACCACUCUUUGCACCGCAAAAUCUUUUCAAGAUCUAUCAAACCCUCCUGUUCUUGAUCUUUGUCCAUUUGUGAAAAAGCAAAUUAAAGCAUCAUGGCCUCUAUCACUUGUAGUGCUGAGAUGACCUCCCCAAUCCCUCCUGCAAGGUUGUUCAAGGCCGCCAUCCUUGAUGACCACCUUCUUCCCAAGAUCAUGCCACAGGCUAUUAAGAGUGGAAAUCCUUGAAGGAGAUGGUGGAGUUUGAACCAUUAAGUUGAGCACAUUUGGUGAAGGUUAGCAGUUAUAUUAAAUGUAGAACCCAAAUUUUAAGGAUCUAAUAAUAAUCAAUGCGUGCAGGGUUACAGAAUUGGAGGGAUAAAAUAAAUACUCAAAAUAUACGUGGAAGAAAAGAAAAUAAUAAAUUCAACUCAUAAUAUUAUUGAAAUUUCAAACAAUGAAGAAAAUCAUACCACAAUAAAUUCAGCUGGUUCUAAUAAUAAUCAAAGCAUACAAGGUUGCAGAAUUAAAAGGAUAAAACAAACACUCAAAAUAUAUGUGGGAGAGAAGAAAAUAAUAAAUUCAACACACAAUAUUACUGAAAUCUCAAACAAUGAAAAAAGUCACACCAUAAUAGAAAACCUUGCUAAUUCUUCUAGAUUCUUUCUCUUGAGAAACCAACCUAAAUAAUGUCCUAUUUAUAAUCUACCAAACUUGUUAGGAAAGAAACCACUUGCAUAAGAAAUUACCAAAUAAAACAGAAAUUCCUAAAUCACACAACUACUAAAAACAUAACUCAAAUAAAACUAAAAAUAAAUAAAUAUUUCUUGGCUUAGUUUAAUUUGUCAACAUUGCCUCCCUUAAACCAAACUAUCCAUUGAGAUAGGUUCAACACCAUCUCGAGCAAUAAUUUCUAUGUUGUAGUACACUUGACAUGAAACUCUAACUUGUUACCAGUUAUUAAUUUCAUUUUUACAUGUAACAAUGGACGCACUAUGUAUUUUGUAAAAAAUUUCUCAGCAAUUUCUUCUUGAUCAAAGUACUCACUUAUACAAACACAUUCAUCACCAGAAUCACCAUAUUUACCACCAAUGUAAGUGCCUAAAAAUACAAAAUCAUAGAUUGCUUUCUGGCUAAAAUUAUCAUCACCAAAUAAUUCAAAAUAACCACUACUACAAUCAUCCAAAAUUUUCAUACUGUCAGUCAACUCUUUUGGAGUAAAGUAUUUUUCAACUCCGAUGACAUCCAUAUCUAUCAAAUCAAACAUUCUCCCAUGACUUUGAAGAGAGUCCGCAACCAACGAAUUUUUCAACAACAAUUUCAUGUUCUCUUCUCUUAUCAAAUCAAAAUUUUCUUCUUCUUUUGUCAAAUUACCAUUUUAUUUUUUUCAACAAAUUCAUUACUUCUAAUUUCUCCAAACAAGGUACGCAAAUCAAAACUAUCAAUUGAUUCAAAAUUUUCAAUAUCACCCAUAUUAUCAACAAAUCUAUCAUUUUUAAAAUCCACAAACUAAUUCCAACAACUAGACUUCGGUUUGAAAGCAUAAUUUCUCUCAAUCGUGUGCAAAACAUAGUAAAUAUUCUUCCAAAAUCUCUAAAGUAUUUUAGUACAACCAAUAAAGGUUUUAUAAAUACUUUUUGCCAUUAAUUUAUGCAUCACUUGAAAGAAUAAUUGUGCCUUUUUCUUAAAAACAUGUUUUGCCAACUUACUUGCGUCAACCCAACAAAGAAUAUCAUCCAAAUUACAUUGUUUGACAUAUUUUUCCACUGUUAAAAUCCAACCAAAUAUGUAUGUAUAUUUGUGCUUAUAGGAGUCAAUAUGAAAAAUUUUUCACCGUCAAUCAGAUCUUUAUAAUAUUCCAUUAUUUAACAAUUUGUAUACCUGAAUAAAUUUUUUUCCUCCAUCCUGUCAUGUUUUCUUGGCCUCCCUGGUUGACUAACCAAAUUAUUGUUGUAUGUAUACCCAUGCUCGUCAAACCUCAUUCGUGUACACUCGUAAGGAGUGGUUCUGAGCUUAUUGUGAAUGCUCAGUACCAAGAAGUAGAAGAGAGAAUGCAUAAGAGAGAAUUAACUUGGCUAAAGAAUUAGGAAACAAUUGAGGGAUUUUUUAAGAAAUUAAUUCUCCAACUGCCACUUUUGGAAAUUUUCUAUCAACAACUAGUUACCAAAACACUAGCACAUAGUAAGAAAUCUGGAUAAUUUCAGAAACCUCCCUUGAGGCUUUUAAUAAUCUCGAGAAGCUCCCCUCAAUUUUUAAAAUUGCACGUACCAUCCCUAUUGGUGCAAAAGUACUCUACUACCCCUAAUAGGAUACUCAAAAGACUUUUUUUAUGGGAAAAAAGAAGGCCAGAAAUCCAAGCGAAAACAAAAAAAAUCAAUUUAUUUUCUCUUUUAGCCUUUUACGCUUUUGCCUUCUACCUUUGCUCACUUUCCCAUGCCAAUCUUCCUAUAACCACUUUCCCAAUCCCCUUUCCCCAACUUUUCUUCUCUACUUCAAGACCAAUUUUUGUCCAUCAAUCCUGGCUUGUGCUUUGUUCCAUUCCCUUCCCUUCUCCUUCUUUGAUUUCCCCUAUAUCUCCCCUUCUCUUUGCAAAAGUGACUAGGCUCAUCUCUCUCCUUUUUUUCCCCAUAUUUUAAGUGUAGUGGGUUUGAUUAUUUUGCAUCUAUUUUAUUUGAUUUUGGUUGAUUAUGGGUGAUAAAACUUGGUGAUGUCACAUAUUAAAAGUUUGAUAGAUGGAUAUUGGGCUUUAGACAAUGAUUUGCUGAAAAAAAUGGCCGCAAUGAGAGGAAGAGGCAAAGGGAUUUGAGUGUGGGGUUGAUUGUUGAUGAAUUGUUGUUUUGGAAAAAAUUUGAGGUUGAGUUUUAUCAAAUUUGGUAGCAAGUGGCGAGAUUUGUUCAGGUUGCGGGAAAUAAAUUGGUUUGUGGUUUCUUGGGCACCCACAGUCGUUGGAAUUGGUUUUGAUUCAAAUUAGGGUGGUUACUUGAUUUUCCUAAUAGUGUUGCUUAAAAGCACACGAUCAUCAAAAUUCCUUAUUUUUAUCUUUUAUUUUUUUUUUGUAGAAAAGAUUUCAUGACUUUCGUGAUAGUCUAAUUUGGAAGAAGGCAAUCAAGGGAUGCAAUCAACAUUUAGCAAAAGCUCUUGUUCUUUUCUUUGUAAUUUUUAGGGUAAAAAGGGUUGUUUAGGGUAUUUGAAGGAAAUGAUAGUCUAUUGGGUCUAUUUUGAAGCAUAAAUAGUGAACGUAAGGGAGGUUGGUGUUAUUUCUGAAACCUAAGGGAAUUGUCUGAAAUUGUCCGAGACCUCGGAGGAGGUUUUCAAAAUUAUCCGUAAGAAAUCAAAUGCGAAACUUGAUUCGUACACGCACACACGACACCACACCACGUCACGCGUGUGUUGAGGACUGAUGUCCGUAGCCAACGACAAGCAGGUUUUCAAUUUUUUUUUCCUUUCCUGGAUUCAGAGAUGGUGUCAGCUUCUAUUAUUGGUGAGCAGGAGGAAAUCCACAAUAUACAGUACACAUCACCCAUAUUCUUUUUAAUUGAACAAUGUAUGAAAUUAUGGUGAUUCGAAAUUAAAUUAUAUGUUUAUUGGACAACGAAUCCAAAAUAAGAGUUGGAAAUGUAUUGUGACAACAAUUGUUAACUUUGGCCACAAAUGAUCAAAAUAAAUAUUUAAGGUUUAAUAUGACAUUAUGGGUUCAAAAUAUAGUUACUUGUUAUGAAACAACUAAAAGUGCGGAUGCCCAUUUGUAUUCUCAAAAGGAUCAAUUCAUAAUUCAUUGCUCCCAAGAUGAUUAAUUCAUAAUUCAUUGCUACAUUAUGUAAAGAAAUUACAUUGGAUGAAUGGUUUCAAUCCAUAAGAGCUAUUCAUGUAUUGGAUGAACCGUUUCAUAUGGCUAUUCAUGUUCUUGUAGUAAUGAGUGUUUAAUAGAAUUGAUGUACCUUUAAUUUUAUAGUACCUAUACAUAGAGGUACCUGGCACCUCUUCGGUGUACUUUUUGAUUAGUUGGAAUAAUAAGAAAAUCAUUCUCCAUUUCUGUACUCUUUCACUAAUAUUUCAAUUCCUAUUAUAGUAGUUCAUUUUUUUUUAGUUUUACAACACGUUAUCAGUACGAGUCUCUCCUUUUAAACAAAAAGGUGAAAACGGAGCCUCUACCUUAAAAAAAAAGUGAAACACGAGAUUUUGCCGAAAUUCUGCCGUAUUUUUCCAGUAACUUCUGUCUACUUAUUGAGAAAUGGAUGCCAAAUAUUUGGGAUUAAAUGAUGGUGAUGAUGACAUUUGUCUCAUUGAUAGUGCUACUACGCGCACUAUAUUGAAAAAUAAAAAAAUUUUCUUGUAUGAAAAUGGGAGAGACAAAUGUUAAUAUCAUAAGUGGUAGUGCAAAAUUGAUUGAAAGAUUCGGAAGAGCCACUCUAUUUCUUCCUAAAGGGACUAAAAUUGUCGUAAAUAAUGCACUAUUGUCUCCCAAGUCUCGGAGAAAUUUAUUGAGUUUUAAAGAUAUCCGCAAAAACGGAUAUCAUAUUGGGACAAUGAUUGAGACAAAUGGAAAAUUUUUAUUAAUCACAAGUAUCAUUUCUAGACAGAAAUACGUAGUAGAAAAAUUACCUUCUUUUUCUUUUGGCUUAUAUUAUGCACAAAUUAGUGCAAUUGAAAUUUAUCACCUAGUAAACCAAAAGUCUAUUCAUCCCAAUAAUUUUAUCAUUUGGCAUGAUCAUUUCAGAAAUCUUGAAUCUAUAAUGAUGAGACAAAUAAUCGAGAAUUCACAUGGUCACUCAUUGAAAAAUCAAAAGAUAUUAAAAGCAAAUGAAUUCUCCUGUGUUGCUUGUUCCCACGGAAAAUUUAUUAGACCAUCACCAGCUAAAGUUGGGACUGAAUCCCCUACAUUUCUAGAACGAAUUCAUGGUGAUAUAUGUGGAUUAUUUCGAUAAUUUAUGGUGCUAAUUGAUGCAUCAUCUAGAUGGUCACAUGUAUGUUUAUUAUCUACUCCCAACCUGGCGUUUGCGAGUUUGCUUGCUCAAAUAAUUAAAUUGCGAGCACAAUUUUCAGACUAUCCAAUAAAGAAAAUUCAUCUAGAUAAUGCUGGUGAAUAUUCAUCACAUACUUUUGACGAUUAUUGCAUGUCCAUUGGAAUAACUGUUGAACAUCUUGUAACUUAUGUUCACACACAAAAUGGUCUAGCCGAAUCAUUUAUUAAACGGCUACAAUUAAUUGCUAAACCAUUGUUGAUGAGGUUUAAACUACUUUCAUCUGCUUGCGAACAUGCUAUAUUACAUGCAGCAACACUUGUGAGAAUUAGACCGACAAGUUAUCAUACUUAUUUUUCCCUACAAUUAACUUUUGGUUAUGAAUCCAAUAUUUUUCAUUUAAGAAUAUUUGGUUAUUCAGUUUGUGUUCUAAUUGCACCGCCCCGACGUUGUAAAUUGGGCUCGCAAAGAAGAUUGAAAAUAUAUGUCGGGUAUGAAUCACCUCUAAUUAUUAAGUAUAUGGAACCAUUGACAGAUGAUUUAUUUAUUGCGAGAUUUGUAGAUUGUCAUUUUGAUGAAUCAGAUUUUUCAACAUUAGGGGGGAGAUAAAAAUCAACCGAAAAAGGAAAUCACUUUAAAAAUAUCAUUGAAUUUUCUCGAUUCUCGUACAAAAGAAUGUGAACUAGAAAUUCAAAAGAUUAUACAUUUGCAAAAAAUUACAAAUCAAUUACCGGAUGCAUUUAAUGACUCCAGAAGAGUUACUAAAUCACAUAUUCCUAUUGAAAAUGCUCUGAUUAAAAUUAAUAUCCUUGAAGGACAAAUUACAAGUGCUAAUGAGUCUAAAGUGCGCCUGAAGCGUGGGAGAUUUCUUGGUUCCAAAGAUAAAAAUUUUCGAAAGAAAAGAGGAGUACAUGAAUCAACAAUUAAUGACAAAAUUUAACCUCCUGAAGAGAUCGCUCCUAAAGAGCCAAUUCUUGAAGAGAAUAAAAUCAUAGAAAAUUCAAUAAAUUUUGUCACUUCAGGGAAAAGUUGGAACCGAAAAGAAAUAAUUAUUGAUAGUAUUUUUGUAUAUAAUGUAGCACUUGAUAUUAUGGUAGAGAAUGGGGAUUACGAGCCUAAAUCGAUUGAUGAAUGUCGACGUAGAAAUGAUUGGCCAAAAUGAAAAGAUGCGAUCCAAUUUGAAUUGGACUCACUGGUUAAAAGAAAAGUUUUUGGACCUGUAGUCCAAACACCUGAAGGUGUGAAGCCAGUAGGAUAUAAAUGGGUAUUUGUGAAAAAAAAAUGAGAAAAAUGAAAUCGUGAGGUAUAAAUUAAUACUUGUAGCCAAAGGAAUUUCACAAAGGCCUGGAUUUGAUUAUGAUUACACGUAUUCACUUGUAGUGGAUGCUAUCACAUUUAGAUAUCUUGUGAGUUUUGCAGUACAUGAAAAAUCAGAUAUGCAUCUAAUGGACGUCGUUACUGCAUAUUUAUAUGAAAAUCUUGAAAAUGAUAUUUAUAUGAGAAUUCCCGAAGGAUUCAAUAUGCCUGAAACAUGCAAAUCAAAUCUUAAAAAUAUUUAUUUAAUUAAAUUACAAAAGUCUUUGUAUGGAUUCAAACAAUCUGAACGUAUGUGGUACCGCCUUAAUGAAUGUUUAACUAAAGAAGGCUAUACCAAUGAUCCAAUAUGUCCAUGUGUCUUUAUCAAGAAAAAUGGAUCAAAUUUUGUGAUAAUUGUUGUAUAUGUUGAUGAUCUAAAUAUGAUUGGAACACCUGAAAAGAUUCAAAAUAGUGUUGAAUAUUUGAAAAAAAAUUUGAGAUCAAAGAUUUUGGAAAAAUAAAAUUUUUCCUUGGUUUACAAAUUGAGCAUUUGAAAAGUGGAAUUUUGUCCACCAAACUGCUUAUACCCGGAAGGUAUUAAAGCGAUUUUAUAUGGAUAAGUCACAUACAUUAAGUAUUCCAAUGGUCAGAUCAUUAGAUCCUAAUAAGGACCCUUUUAGACCGCGAGAGGAAGAUGAAGAGAUACUUGGUCCUAAAGUACCAUAUCUCAGUGCAAUUGGUGCACUACUGUAUCUUGCUAAUUGUACAAGACUUGAUAUAUCAUUUACAAUAAAUUUAUUAGCAAGAUUUAUUUCCUCGCCCACAAGACGACAUUGGAAUGGUAUUAAACAUAUUUUUCGUUAUCUUUAAGGAACAAAUUGAUCUUGGCUUAUUUUAUUCAAAUAAAUCUAAACUUGAAUUGCUUGGUUAUGUUGAUGUUGGAUAUUUAUCUGAUUUGCAUAAAGCAAGAUCUCAGACUGGUUAUCUAUUUACAUAUGGAGGUACAACCAUUUCUUGGCGAUCUAGAAAGCAAUUAUUAGCCGCCACUUCAUCGAAUCAUGCUAAAAUAAUAGCAAUUCAUGAGGCUAGUCGAGAAUGUGUUUCGUUAAGAUCAAUGACCUACUAUAUCCGGAAGAGUUGUGGGUUAUCCUCUGAAAAAGAAAAUCCUCCGACUAUAUUUUAUGAAGAUAAUGCAGCUUGUAUAGCUCAAUUGAAAGGAGAAUAUAUUAAAGGAGAUAGAACGAAAUAUAUUUCACCAAAAUUCUUUUUUACUCAUGAUUUACAAAAGAAUGGUGAAAUUGUUGUGCAACAAAUCCGAUCAGAUAAUAAUUUGAUAGAUUUAUUUACUAAUGUAUUGCCGACUGCAAUAUUUGAGAAAUUGGUGAAGAAUAUUGGAAUGCGACGACUAUAAAAUCUCAAAUGAUAUUUGCAUCAGGGGGAGAAAUCAAUACACAAGAAUAGUGUACUCUUUUUUUUUCACUAGAGUUUUUGUCCCGUUGGAUUUUUUCCUAGUAAGGUUUUAAUAAGACAUAUUCUUUGUGUAAUUAAUAUCCAAUGGGGAGUGUUAUGAAAUAACUAAAAGUGUGGAUGUCCAUUUGUAUUCUCAAGAAGAUCAAUUCAUAAUUCAUUGCUCCCAAGAGAAUUAAUUCAUAAUUUAUUGCUACAUUAUGUAAAGGAAUUACAUUGGAUGAUCGGUUUCAAUCCAUAAGAGCUAUUCAUGUAUUGGAUGAACCAUUUCAUAUGGCUAUUCAUGUUCUUGUAGUAACGAGUGUUUAAUAGAAUUGAUGUACCUUUAAUUUUGUAGUACCUAUAUAUAGAUGUACCUUAGCUGAUAGGUUGCAAUUUUAUCAUUUAUUUUAUAAUUAAUUUCUCCUAUUACCUGACUUGAUGUGGAUUAAUUGCGGGAUUCUACUCACUUUUAGUAUUUUGCAUUUAUUUCAGGGAGUAGAGCGAAAAUAUAAUAACAGGUGCUAAUUUGACAAAAAAAGAGUCCAAGGCACAGAGCUUAUCCCGGGGGCAUUAUUGGCAAAGGAAGACUUUUGCCCAUUUUGGUAAUUUCAAAAGAAGAGAGCAGGGCAGAGGCCUCUAUUUUACUGGAGGCUGGAGCGCCGCACAAAGGGAGCUUCUUCUUCCUUCGGAGGCUCCGUCCUCUCCGCAAGGGGGCUGCCGCACACAGCAGCCAUUAGAAUAGGAGCAAUUGAUAUAUGACAGAGAAUGAGCACUAGCACCAGGGAGUUGCCUUUGUUGACUUUUCUUCCCUUUUAGUUCUUAGUAGUUGUUUUACCUUCCUCGUACGUAGGACCUUUAGCAUAGUUUCCUUUUGACUUUCCCUUGAGUCUUGGGUGGAUGUCUCCUGCGCAUGUCAGGAGCAAUUGAAGGUCUCGGUCACUUUCUGUAUUCUUCCAUCAACUGAGCGAACUGAGCUCCCUUGGUCAAGGGCAAUGGCUGCGGCUUCCUCUCCAACUUUGUGUGGGAUUCGUUCACCAGGAAUGAACUAAUUUUUCUUUUCUAGUCAAGGAACAACGGAGGUCUUGGUUGGCCUAAAUUUGUGAGAUCGAAUUAGUUUUUAUUUAUUUCCAUUAUUCACUGGUAUUUGUCUAUCUUCUGCUUUAUGUUCAUAUGGUUGUUUUAUUAUUCGAUUAUCCAGGGCCCGGAUACUAGAUUAAUUCAAUAACCUGAAGCCAAUUAGGAUAGUUAAAUCCGUAAUUGUUUAAUUAUUCUAAACUGCUGGCAACUGGCAUGAUUGGGUUUGUGUCAGGGGGAUAAACAUGCUAACUUAAAGAGACCCUCGUAGCGUGUUGAUUGGUUAGAAUUAGGCUCUUCUAAUUAUUCAUGCAAUUAGGGAAUUGAACUUCUAUGGUCGUACCUAGGGUUAUUUCCUGAUUAGAGAAAUAGUCAACGGUCGUACCUUGGCUAUCGACAAAUUGAGGAAGAGUUGGUUGUUUAUCGCGUGUAUGGCAACUAUAACUAAUUUAUCAGAUAGUAACUGGAAUAAUCCUUGCAUCUGUGAUCGAAUUAAGUGAACCAUCUCCGAAGUUGUCUCUUGGCUAGAGUUCGUCAAUUAUUAUUUUUAUUGUGAUAAUUAGUUAUUUGAGUUGUAGUUAUUUUAUUUUAUUUAUUCCAAGUAAUUUAGUUACUCUCAUUUUCAAAAACCCCCCAUAUCUGGAACUUGAGAAGAAAUUAAAUUAUCCCCAGUCCCUGUGGAUUCGACCCUGCUCACCGCUAUAUACAGAAUUUGUAUUUUAUUUGAGCAGGUAUUUAUUAUUGCACAGGUUCGGCACCUGUCAAUUUUUUGCUACAUUAUGUAAAGGAAUUACAUUGGAUGAUCGGUUUCAAUCCAUAAGAGCUAUUCAUGUAUUGGAUGAACCAUUUCAUAUGGCUAUUCAUGUUCUUGUAGUAACGAGUGUUUAAUAGAAUUGAUGUACCUUUAAUUUUGUAGUACCUAUAUAUAGAUGUACCUUAGCACCUCUUGGGUGUACUUUUUGAUUAGUUGGAAUAAUAAAAAAAUCAUUCUCCAUUUCUGUACUUCUUUCUCUAAUAUUUCAAUUCCUAUCACAGUAGUUAUUUUUUUUUAGCUUUACAACAUUACUUAAAUAAGAGAGUUAUUGGACUAUAUGUUUAUUGACCUCUACUAACUUAUUUAAGGUCAUUUCAUAUCACUAUCCAAAGAAGAAUUAAGGUCAUUUCAUAUCACUAUCCAAAGAACAAUUCUUGGGCGCUAACAUUUUUCUUACAUGACUAUUAAUGAAAGUUGACCCAAAUCUCUCUGUCUCUCUCUUUCUUUCAAUUCUUAGGACUGAUGCCAAUUCUUACCAUUUAGAAAGAAAAAUUAGAUUGUUUAUAUAUAUGAUGAGUUCCCUCUAAGUCAUGGUUAAGAAAAAUUCUUAGUUAAACGCAGUUUUAUGAAAUGUGAAUUUCCUUUUCUUUGUCUUUAUUCAUUAGUAUUAUUGGGGUUAUUGUAUUAUGAUUGCAAUGCACAGAUACAUGGAUUUUUGACAUUUUUUCUUUUUAAUUGACUCUGACUAUGCCUCAAACUCGAGACAUCAAACCUGGACACGACUUUUGUCCAAAAUGCUUGUAAAAAUUCAGAAGAAUAAUUUUGGACCUUAUUAUUUGAUAAUGGUACAAUUAUGAGAGUCAUUCCAGGUUAAUUAUCAAACUUGGAACUUGAAAAUAAUGUCGACAUCAUGUCAUUAUUAUUUUUUAGUUUCAUAGAAAAAUGAAGUAUUCUCCAACUCGACAUUAUCAUAGUAUUUUCAAUUGGCAGCUCAUGUGAGAAAGACAAGAAAUUCACAAUCAACUGGCCAAGAGAGUGCCAACAAAGAAAGCACUAAAUGGCUUAAACAAUGCAUGCAAAUUUGCUUGGCACUUAAACAAUAGACACCUAAAUCAACCAUGUCACUGUCUUGCCAAAAAAGGGCAUUAAAGUAAAAACAACUCAUGCCUACCACAGGUAACAAACUUCAGCACCUUCACUUCACUACCAUGUCAGCAACAACAUUUGCAAAUUUCCAAGGAAGUCCACGCACUAAAGGUGCCCAUGCCCUUAGGGGACCUCAGGUUAGUGUUCUUAACCUCAACUCCUGUCUUUCUGUUCUUAGGAAAUAUUGAAAUUAAACGUUAUAACUAAUCCUGAUUUCCUUGUGCUAUAUUUGUACACAAUUUGGCAACAAGGGUAAAAAAAAAUAAAAAUAAAAAGGUUUAUCUGCAAACUGUAGUUCGGCCUGGCUCUUUUUUUUUUUUUUUUUUUUGGGGAUAAGAUCAUCUCAGCACCCGCAGACCCCGUCAUGUAUCAAUAUUUCUGUACUUAGCAUUGGCUUCUUCUCGCCUGAAGAACACACGAACCACCGAAAUAGAUGGUGCAUGAAAGUGCACUUAACCCUUUUAAUUUUUCAAAACAAUCUUUUAGAAAAAAUAAUAAAAACUUUUUGAAUUUAAUUUUAGAGAAGAAGAAUUUUAAAAUUUUUUGAAUUUAAUCUUAGAGAAGAAGAAGUUUAAAAUGUACUUUAAUUUUCACAACUGAUGAUGAAAAUAGCAAAAUGUACACGGAUAGUGACAAAAGUGGGAUCACGGGCAGGAAAUCCUGAAGGUUGCGUGCAUUUUACACACGGCAUAAUUCUGUUUGUAUAUAGUGUAAUUUACUUUUUACAACGUGUAAUUUUAAAACAAAAUUUUGUAAGUCUCACACAUUUUAUUAAAAAUAAGGUACAAGAUGAAAUUUGGACCAUAUAAUUUUUUUUAAUCAAAUCUUGACCGUGAACUGCUCAGAAACGGUUUACCUGAUGACCGUCCCUGGUCCAAACCCGACAAAGGUGCCAUCUUAUCCUUUUACUGACUGGCCCGUUUUCCAAUGAGAGGGCCCAGAAGGGGUGCCUCUGCUUCAUAGUUUAUCCAUAUUGAUAUUUCUUUUCUGUCCCCCUAACUAUUAAAUGUGAAAGGUUGCCCACCAAAUUUGACGAAACCGUUUAUCCUAAUUGAUUAUUAUCAAUAGGGCAUAACUUUAAUAUUCUUCUUCCAACCCUUUCUGGUGAUUCCUGCAACUCCAGCCGUCCGUCAAUGACCAUAAAGCACCAUUAACCGACAACUAACUAACCACUAUUAAUCUAUUCUCAAAUUUUAAUGAAAUUGCACAAUCUAUUCUCAAAUCAAAUUUGAACAACAUUUUAUAGUCGAUAACUUUGAAACUUGAUAAAAAAGUCUGUUUAAACUCGGUUUAGUAAAUAAACAAAUCAAGUUUGAACAAAAUUUUAAACUCAUUAAAAUAAUUAAACACGUUUGAAUAUUAGGGUAUUCGAUUUAAUUAGACACGUUUGUAUCCCUAAUUAAAGCAUGCACUUUUAUAAGUUUAGGAAUCAACAUUAUACAUUUAAUAGCUAGCUAGAGGGUCAAAAAGUUAAUUGCCUUAAAUUCUUUUAGCAGCCAUAAGGUACAGUUGGAGGGAUUCCCUUGAAAUUGGUUAGAUUCUUCUAUGUGACUAAAGAAUUUCGGGUGUGACGCAUUACUAGUCCUACCCUAAAAAAAAAUGGUAUUACUAGUCCUUUUUUUCUUUUUUGGCGUGCCCCCGUCGUGGGAUGUGGGGAGGGGAGUCUGUGCGAGAAUUCUAGGUCGGGGUACAAGGAGCCAAAGUUCACCUUAUUCAAAGUAAACAACCGUCCAUCUCAGUUGUCGACUUUCCUGUCGAUUGCGUAUAUAUAUAUAUUACUAUCUUUUACCAUGACUUUAGAGGAUAGCUAAUUUUGCUUGCUAUUAAAUAAUAAUUUCGGUAGUCUAUAAAUACUCUUGUUCCUCACCGCUCCUAGCACCACAUAAUUCCUUCAAGAACAGCCAAAACCUUCUUGAAAUCCCUCUUUUUCCUUCUAGUUCAUUUCCAAGAAACAAAUGGCCCCUGUCACUUCCAGUUAUGAGGUCACCUCCUCAAUCCCUCCUGCAAGGUUGUUCAAGGCCACCAUCCUCGAAGAGAAGCAUCUUCACAAGAUCUUGCCACAGGGCGUUAAGAGUGUCGAAAUCCUUGAAGGAGAUGGUGGAGUUGGCACAAUUAAGUUGACCACAUUUGUUGACGGUAAGAUAAUCAAUACAAAGUGAUUAUUUUCACACAUUUGAAGUCUUCAAAUUUUUCUCUUUUUUUCCCUUUUAUUUGGGAAAAACUAAUGACUUUUUUUUUUUGGUUGGGUUAAAUAUUUAGGUGGCGAGCAUAAGACUGCCAAACAGAGAGUUGAUGGAAUUGACAAAGAAAAAUUUACAUACAGCUAUACUGUACUUGAAGCUGAUGGAUUUAACGAUGUAAUCGAGAAAAUCUGUUGUGUCAUCAAAUUUGAACCCUCUGCUGAUGGAGGUUCAAUCUGCAAAACCACUAACACAUACUACCCCAAAGGUGGUGCUCAGAUCAGUGAGGAACACCUCAAGGGAGGAAAAGAGAUGGGUUUGGGAAUGGUUAAGGCUGUUGAGGCAUACCUCCAUGCAAAUCCUACUGCCUACAACUAAUUAUAAUGAAUGCUACUGCAAGGACUCUUCGACAUAUUUUCUUCAAGAUUGAAGUAUAAACUGAGGGUGUCUGUUUCCUUUUUUGCUUGGUUUGCUUAAGCUGUUUGGUUAAGUUAUUCGCAGCAAGAGAAUAAAAUAAUUCAUUUGCUGUUUUUAGAUAUGAAUUCAUGACUGUCAGUAGUCUAUAAAUACACUUAUUGCUCACCACUCUUUGCACCGCAAAAUCUUUUCAAGAUCCAUCAAACCCUCCUGUUCUUGAUCUUUCUCCAUUUGUGAAAAAACAAAUUAAAGCAUCAUGGCCCCUAUCACUUGUAGUGCUGAGAUGACCUCCCCAAUGCCUCCUGCAAGGUUGUUCAAGGCCGCCAUCCUUGAUGACCACCUUCUUCCCAAGAUCAUGCCACAGGCUAUUAAAAGUGGAAAUUCUUGAAGGAGAUGGUGGAGUUUGAACCAUUAAGUUGAGCACAUUUGGUGACGGUUAGAUGUUAUAUUAAAUGUAGAACCCAAAUUUUAAGGAUCUAAUAAUAAUCAAUUAAUAAUAAUCAAUGCGUGCAGGGUUACAGAAUUGGAGGGAUAAAACAAAUACUCAAAUAAAUGUGGAAGAAAAGAAAAUAAUAAAUUCAACUCACAAAAUUAUUGAAAUUUCAAACAAUGAAAAAAAUCAUACCUUAAUAAAUUCAGUUGGUUUUAAUAAUAAUCAAAGCAUACAAGGUUAAAGAAUUAAAAGGAUAAAACAAACACUCAAAAUAUAUGUGGGAGAGAAGAAAAUAAUAAAUUCAACACACAAUAUUAUUGAAAUCUCAAACAAUGAAAAAAGUCACACCAUAAUAGAAAAUCUUGCAAAUUCUUCUAGAUUCUUUCUCUUGAGAAACCAACCUAAAUAAUGUUCUAUUUAUAAUCUACCAAACUUGUUAGGAAAGAAACCACUUGCAUAAGAAAUUACCAAAUAAAACAGAAAUUCCUAAAUCACACAACUACUAAAAACAUAACUCAAAUAAAACUAAAAAAUAAAUAAAUUUUUCUUGGCUUAGUUUAAUUUGUUAACAUUGCCUCCCUUAAACCAAACUAUCCAUUGAGAUAUGUUCAACACCAUCUCGAGUAACAAUUUCUAUGCAAAUCUAUGUUGUAGUAUACUUGACAUGAAACUCUAACUUGUUACCAGUUAUUAAUUUCAUCUUUACACGUAACAGUGGACGUACUAUGUAUUUUGUAAAAAAUUUCUCAACAAUUUCUUCUUGAUCAAAGUACUCAUUUAUACAAACCCAUUCAUCACCAGAAUCAUCAUAUUUACCACCAAUGUAAGUUCCUAAAAAUACAAAAUCAUUGCUUGCUUUCUCGCUAAAAUUAUCAUAACCAAAUAAUUUAAAAUAGCCACUACUACAAUCAUCCAAAAUUUUCAUACUGUCAGUCAACUCUUUUGGAGUAAAAUAUUUUUCAACUAUAAUGACAUCCAUAUCUAUCAAAUCAAGCAUUCUCCCAUCACUUUGAAGAAAGUCCGAACCAACGAAUUUUUCAACAACAAUUUCAUGAUCUCUUCUCUUAUCAAGUCAAAAUUUUCUUCUUCUUUUGUCAAAUUACCAUAUUAUUGUUUCAACAAAUUCAUUACUUCUAAUUUCUCCAAACAAGGUACGCAAAUCAAAACUAUCAAUUGAUUCAAAAUUUUCGAUAUCACCCAUAUUAUCAACAAAUCUAUCAUUUUUAAAAUCCACAAACCAAUACCAACAACUAGACUUCGGUUUGAAAGCAUAAUUUCUCUCAAUCGUGUGCAAAACAAAGUAAAUAUCCUUCCAAAAUCUCUAAAGUAUUUUAGUAUGACCAAUAAAGGUUUUAUAAAUACUUUCUGCCAUUAUUUUACACAUCACUUGAAAGAAUAAUUGUGCUUUUUUUCUUAAAAACAUGUUUUGCCAACUUACUUGCAUCAACCCAACAAAGAAUAUCAUCCAAAUUACAUUGUUUGAGAUAUUUUUCCACUGUUAAAAUUCAGCCAAAAUAUGUAUGUCUAUUUGUGUUUAUAGGAGUCAAUAUGGAAAAUUUUUCACCAUCAAUCAGAUCUUUAUAAUAUUCCAUUAUUUAACAAUUUGUAUACCUGAAUAAAUUUUUUUCCUCCAUCCUGUCAUGUUUUCUUGGCCUCCUUGGUUGACUGACCAAAUUAUUGUUGUAUGUAUACCCAUGCUUGUCAAACCUCAUUCGUGUACACUCGUAAGGAGUGGUUUUGAGCUUACUGUGAAUGCUUAAUACCAAGAAGUAGAAGAGAGAAUGCAUAAGAGAGAAUUAACUUGGCUAAAGAAUUGGGAAGCAAUUUAGGGAUUUUUUAAGAAAUUAAUUCUCCAACCGCCACUUUUGGAAAUUUCUAUCAACAACUAGUUACCAAAACACUAGGACAGCGAUCCGUCUCUAUUUUACUCUUCAAGUCUUCGCCGGGGAAGCAACCCGGCCUUGCGAGACUAUAAUGAAUAGGCACUUGCCUUCUGUUUUUACUUUUUUUUUGUUCAAAGACUAUAAUGCCCUUAUUAUUUGACUGCGCAUCUCGCAAGAUAAUGCUUUCCAUCAAAAUUAACUGUUGGGUUUGACAGAAGCGCCACGAAUAUUCUAUUUUAUUAGAUCCAGAGUCAAAAUUUUACCGUUAAUUGUUAGAGGGUUAAAACUUUAUCUGGAAAGGAGUUGGAGGGCCAUUGGAACUCUUUUUCCAAAAAAAAAAAAAAGUCACUUUUGUCAUUUGUCCAAGAACAGUUCUGGGGCCAUCUCGACAGUAUAUAUUUUUCUUACAUGCCAAGACAAUUAAUGAAAAUUGACCAAUAACACACGCACACACACACACACACACACACACUCUCUCUCUCUCUCUCUCUCUCUCUCGGUUGCUGCCAAGUCUUUCCAUUGAAAAAGGAAAAUUCAUAUUGUUUACAUAGAUAAAUUACCUCCAGUCCGUGGAAUGUCUUGAUGUUAGGUGAGUUCUAAUAUUUUGGUAUCAUCUAGAGGUGGCAAAUCAACCCACUUAACUAAAUUUACCCAUAUCCGCCCAUGAAUAGAUGGGUAUGGAUAUCUUAAAUUUUUGUAUAUGAGUAUAAAUGGGUUACCCAAUAAUACCCAUUUAAAUGGGUAACCCAUCAAACCCAAUUAACCCAUUUAGAAUUCUCUUCCCCUCAAGUCUCUUCUUUUCCCCCACCUUUUUUUUUUUCAAAUUUUUCAUUUUGUCAUGAUGUUAACUACUUUUGUUUUAUUAUUAUUAUUUGUUGGUUUUAUCUUAUUAUUUUAUUUUCUCUUAGUUUGUUAACUUACUCAUUUUUUACCAUUACCAAUUUAUGAUAAAUUUUAGCCUAUUUUCUUAUCUUUAUAAAAUGAAAUUUUAAAUUUAUAUAUGAAAAAAAUGUUAGGGGUUCAAAAAUUUUGGAUUAAGUUUUUAUAUUAAUUUUUAUAGUACUUAGUUCAAAAUUUUAUAUUCUUAUUAUUCAAUUAUUAAAUAAUAGGUAAUUUUGUGACAUAGAGUAUAAAUGAAAAAAAAUUGGUAAUUAAGUUUAUUGAACAUUAUAAGUAAAUAUUUAAAACUAAUGAUGGGUAUAAAGAGUGAUAUAAAUUGAUAACUUAGUUUGCAAAAAUGAAUUUAAAUGAGUUUGCAAAAAGUUAAAAUAAAUGGGUUAUAAAUGGGUAAUUGGGUUACCCAAUUCAUUUUUUGACUUGCCUAUUUAUACCCAUAUAAUUAAAUGGGUAUAAAUGAGUUGACUCACUUAUACCCAUUACCCAUUUUACCCAACUCAAACCCGCCCAAGUCACCCAUUUUGACACCUUUAGUAUCAUCUAAUGUUCAUUUGUGAAAGAUUGAGAAAUGAUAAAGAGCAAAACACCAAUUUAUUCCAUAAAUUAUUUUGCUAAAAUCAAAAUAGUCCAUAAAUUUUCUUUUGGCCAAAUUUUUGUCAUGAACUUUCAGAAACGGUUGCAGGGGAUUUCAUCCGGAUUGCUUGUGCAGUUGAGUAACUAUACAGAAAUUCUUUUUGGGAUGCUGAGUAUCUUAGGAUGGGUACAAUGAUCGCUUAGAUCAGUAGAGAUGAUUGAUGAUGUAGUAGGGGAAGAUUCCCUUUAUAAAGCUGAUUUUCUCAUGAUUAAUAAGAAUAUAAAUGUUACCAAAUUUUCUUUUCAAAUGUGUAACGAAAAUAUUGGCCAUGAUCAGCAAGACCUCCUUAAUUAUAAAAGUUUCUUGAAUGUCAUCAUCCAAUUUGUUUAAGCGAGGAUUUUUAAAUGCUAUCUUUAAGCAAAUUGAUUUUUGUAUUAUAGAUACUUACUACUAUUACUUCAUACCUAGCUACAAACCUCAUGUAUGUUUUAGUUUUAAUCCAGAACAAAUCAGGGCCACGGGCCACCUUGCACAUAGCGAGAGUGGAAAAAUAAAACUACACAAUUGCUUUUUUGAAGCCAGUGACUCAACUGAUUUUGCGCUCGGCAAUUCAUCCGAUUUUCAUUAAAAGGGCCCUAAGAGGCCAUUGGCGUUUUGGGCCUGUGAAAAUUUGGAUGAUUUGGUGUGUCCAAUGCAUGUGUAAGCACAAAUUUUGUUGUCUAAAAUAAAAGACAAGAAAACUUACAUAAAUAUCAAAUUUAUUAAAUUAAAUAACAAGAGGGUUACAAUAUUUGAAAAUUUUUGAAUCAAAGAAAUUAAUCUCCUAAUUUUUAUCUUCAAAAGGCUUUAAUCGGAAGGCCAAAAAGGCUUGUUCUCCGAUCAAGAGGGUGUUUUCUAUGAUUUCUAUGUAAAAAACGGCUGCUUUGAUGAUGACGUUAAUAUUUGAAUCUUUAAAUCUUCAACGCCGAUGGAAGGAGGAUUUAUUUAACUUAAUUUGGAUUUGGAUUUGAAUUUGAGGGAAAAAGCUCUCAAGAGAAUUUGACAAAGUUACUUUGAAAUUUAGGAAUUUUAAUGUAUUUUUGCCUUGAGGGAAGACCUUUAUUUAGAGUCAACAUAUGCAAGCUAUGUCUUCAAGAGAAUCCUUCAAAACCAUCUUGCGUUUGGGUAACUUGUACCUUAAGAAACCCAUUUAACUUGGAGUUAAAUAGUCGGCCGACCCAAAUAGUCAAUUGUGAAUUAACAAAUCAAUUAAAUCACUUUAAUUUAAAUGGGCAUCACAUUUUUUAUUUGAUUUAAUAGCUCAUAUAACAUUGGCUCAAUUUGUCAAUCCAAAACAUAAUGAACUUCUAUAAUUUAAUUUAAUUUAAUAAAAAUCAAUUUAAUUUACUUAAUCUUGCCUAAAAAUAAAUUAAAUAAAUUUUCGUUGUCUAUGUCCCCACUUCAAAACUUGGCAAGGCAUUGCAUGUUUAUUUGAAUUAACUUAAAACUUCUUAAUACGAUUCAUCUAAGCACCUUUAUAUAUAUAUAUAUAUAUAUAUAUAUAUAUAUAUAUAUAUUUAUUUAUUUAUUUAUAUAUAGAGGUACAGAAGACAUGUCUUUGUCUUGAAACUGUGACAAACAGGACACUUAAGACAAGGGCGUGUGAAGACUAUCGCACUAUUUGAGCGAAAAAAACCUGUUUUGCACGUAUAUUUUGAAGGUAAUCAUCUUUAUUGUCUUUUGACAACUUCAUGUUGGUCGAGUAUCAGAUAUUCACCAAAUUUUGUUGAAAUUUGUCAAAACUUGAUUUGUUUCCAAUUUGGAGAAAAAAAAAGAUUUUUUUCUUCGUUUCUGCAAUUUUCCAGGUCACUCUUUCCUAUCAACAUGUUACGAUUCAGAAAUUGAGACAAAUCUUGUACAUAGGAAUCUUUUUUAACAGCUGAUGGUUGGAAUUUAGCAGACACCUUGAAGUCAAAGAAGGCAAAUAGCAUUCCAAUAGCAUUAUUUGGUUGCAUGCCAUAUCCAAGAUUUUCACUAGUAAGCCACCAUUUUCUUGCUUUUGAUUGUUAUUCAUUCUCUGUUGCGCAAUUUUAUUUUCGCACAAUCUAUUUUUUUCGUUGAAUUUUCUCUUUUGCAAAACAGCGACCACCAAGGAAAGACAGAAAGAUUUUUUUGUUUUUGUUUUUGUUUUUGUUUUUGUUUUUUUUUUUAUGGUUGCACCUUGUGUUGGCACCCCUUAUUUGAAGCAAGUUGAUGUUCCAGUUGUGUUGGGGAUUUUAGGGCCAUAGCUCUUAGAACUCAAAAUACUAAUGUAAUUUCCGCACUCCAUGACAUUUACUUCUUGUCAAUGCCAAACUCUCCUCUUUUUUUUUGUGAUAUGAAAGGAAGAUCUCUCGUUGCAACAUAUAUGGUGGACACUCAAUUUGAAAGAAGGUGCAACCACCAACUUGCACGAGAGCCAUAUCAUGGUUUGAGGAGUAUAAUGAAAAUGAUGCAACUGCAAACUCUUAUGAGAGCCAUAUCAUGGUUGAGAAGUACAAUGAAGAUAGUGCAAUCAAAAAUUUGAAAAAGGUGCAAUCGCAAACUCCCAUGAGAGCCUAUCAUGGAUUGAGGAGUACAACGAAGAAUGUGCCACAAAAAGUUGAAAAAUGUGCAAUCGCAAACUCGCACGAGAGCCUAUCAUGGUUUGAGGAGUACAAUGAAGAAGGUGCAACUACCCACUUCAAUGAGAGCUUACCAAAACUCGAGAAGCCCUUUCAUUUAACUUCACAUUGACUAUUUAUUACUUCUCUCACUGUCUUCGAUCACACCAUUGUAAUCAAAUUUUUUUCUCUUGCUUUUGGUCCUAACGAAAUGGUGAUGGUCAAGGAAGUUACAUCUUCAAACAAAAGGCACCUCCUUAUCACUAAUAGCCAUGAUGACUCUGCUGACAAAGGAACGAAAUUAUUGGUGCAUCCCUCUAUACAAGAAAUUUACUCUGGUGAUUGGUUUUCUCACAAGUAUUCCGAAUUAAAGGAUUGGUCACUAAAAUUUUCUCAAGAUGAUGGUACGAAAGUUCACUCCUUGAAAUUCCUUAUCAUAAUAAGGAGCCAAGGACAAUUGGCAGGCGAAUCCUAGAUGAGACUAAGGGUGCAAACGAGGCAAGUCGAAUCGAGUUUUGAAGUUAUUGAGUCGAGUUACACUUAUUUAUAUGCGAGCUCGAGUUCGAGGUCGAAAAAUAGAGCUCGAACUCGGCUCGAUGUAGGAAAAGGAAAACUCGAGAUCGACUCGCUUAUGGCUCGCGAGUUUAGCUCGAAUUCUGGCUCGCGAGCAGCUCGAGUUUUGCUAGAUUUUCUGGCUCGCAUGAAGCUCGAAGUCAGCUCGAUUCUAGCUCGUUAGGAGCUCCAGUUCGAACUCGAAAACAGCUCGAUUUUCUGGAAAUUUAUGCAAGAAAACAGAAUUUUUGUCCGCAUAUUUUUGAUAAAAUUUGAGCAUGAUAACAAUAAGUUUUCACAUAUUCUUGAUCUUGAGGCCUACAAAUUAUGCACUAAUACAAUCAUAAAUGUCCAAAUGUCCACUAAUACAAAUUAUCCAAAUGUCCACAAAUGUCCACUAAUACAAAUUAUCCAAAUGUCCACAAGAAGUCUGAAGAAUACCAGCUUGUUGUCCACAAAAACCAAGGCAUGACAUGAAGCGAGAAUUUCCUGACUGCGUCCUGGAACUUUACUCAUUUCUGUCUCUAAUUCCUCAUGAUCAGUUAGUCCACCAACAUUGAACAAUAUGGAUCAGGAAUGGGGAAAAAUCACUUUCUAACACUCAAGAUCACAUACAACUCAUAUCCAACAAAUAUCCUGAAGUUUCAUGAGUAUAAUCACAUUAAAAGAGAAAAGGAUACUGACAAGCAUGCUAAUCAAACUCAAGCAGAAAAGGUACUUUCUCCUUGCCGUCUCCGACAUCCCAGCCAGCAAAUGGCUGGGGUUCGUGACAGCUGUUUGGGUCCAAUCCAUCUCCGGCAACAACUAUACCUUCUCCAAUUACUCCGACGCCCUCAAAUCACUCAUGGCCCUCACUCAGCUCCAACUCAACAACCUCUCCGUCGCCAAUUGAUGUCAUUAAAGCAGAAAAUCGGCCUGAUGGCCUCCACCAGCUGCCAUCCCUAAUCCAAGAAGGUCGAGUGUAGUAUGCUUAGGACCAAAUACAGAUGGAGUUCCCAACAUCAGUUCCUUCAAGCUAGACCCACCAUCACACGGCAGCCCUAGUCCUAGGCCUACUACCAAUGAUGCACUAUCAGACUCAAUUGCCCUCCCACUCUUCGCCCGGAAAGACAGUGGUGAAAAGAGGUAAGGAGGUGGCGGCAAAGAGCGACGGGUUAGCCAAAGUUAGAAGAUCCUCUUUUUCUAGAUUUGCAAGUUUCCUACUCUAGAGACAAAAAUGUCCUUGAUAUUUGGUCGUGCAUCUUACAAGAUAAUGCUUUCCGUCAAUUUUAACCGUUGGAUUUGACGGAAGGGCCAUGAAUAUGCUAUUUUAUUAGAUCGAGAGCCAAAAUUUUACCGUUAAUUGUUGGAGGGUUAAAACUUUAUCUGGAAAAGAGUUGGAGGGCCAUUGGAACUCUUUUUCCAAAAAAAAAAAGUCACUUUUGUCAUUUGUCCGAGAACAGUUCAGGGGCCAUCUCGACAGUAUAUAUUUUUCUUACAUGCCAAGACAAUUAAUGAAAAUUGACCAAUAACACACGCACACACACGCGCACGCACACACACACACACUCUCUCUCUCUCGGUUGCUGCCAAGUCUUUCCACUGAAAAGGAAAAUUCAUAUUGUUUACAUAGAUAAAUUACCUCCAGUCCGUGGAAUGUCUUGAUGUUAGGUGAGUUCCAAUAUUUUGGUAUCAUCUAAUGUUCAUUUGUGAAAGAUUGAGAAAUGAUAAAGAGCAAAACACCAAUUUAUUCCAUAAAUUAUUUUGCUAAAAUCAAAAUAGUCCAUAAAUUUUCUUUUGGCCAAAUUUUUGUCAUGAACUUUCAGAAACGGUUGCUUCCUGCAACCGUUGGUGAGGGAUUUCAUCCGGAUUGCUUGUGCAGUUGAGUAACUAUACAGAAAUUCUUUUUGGGAUGCUGAGUAUCUUAGGGUGGGUACAAUGAUCGCUUAGAUCAGUAGAGAUGAUUGAUGAUGUAGUAGGGGAAGAUUCCCUUUAUAAAGCUGAUUUUCUCAUGAUUAAUAAGAAUAUAAAUGUUACCAAAUUUUCUUUUCAAAUGUGUAACGAAAAUAUUGGCCAUGAUCAGCAAGACCUCCUUAAUUAUAAAAGUUUCUUGAAUGUCAUCAUCCAAUUUGUUUAAGCGAGGAUUUUUAAAUGCUAUCUUUAAGCAAAUUGAUUUUUGUAUUAUAGAUACUUACUACUAUUACUUCAUACCUAGCUACAAACCUCAUGUAUGUUUUAAUCCAGAACAAAUCAGGGCCAUGGGCCACCUUGCACAUAGCGAGAGUGGAAAAAUAAAACUACACAAUUGCUUUUUUGAAGCCAGUGACUCAACUGAUUUUGCGCUCGGCAAUUCAUCCGAUUUUCAUUAAAAGGGCCCUAAGAGGCCAUUGGCGUUUUGGGCCUGUGAAAAUUUGGAUGAUUUGGUGUGUCCAAUGCAUGUGUAAGCACAAAUUUUGUUGUCUAAAAUAAAAGACAAGAAAACUUACAUAAAUAUCAAAUUUAUUAAAUUAAAUAACAAGAGGGUUACAAUAUUUGAAAAUUUUUGAAUCAAAGAAAUUAAUCUCCUAAUUUUUAUCUUCAAAAGGCUUUAAUCGGAAGGCCAAAAAGGCUUGUUCUCCGAUCAAGAGGGUGUUUUCUAUGAUUUCUAUGUAAAAAACGGCUGCUUUGAUGAUGACGUUAAUAUUUGAAUCUUUAAAUCUUCAACGCCGAUGGAAGGAGGAUUUAUUUAACUUAAUUUGGAUUUGGAUUUGAAUUUGAGGGAUAAAGCUCUCGACAGAAUUUGACAAAGUUACUUUGAAAUUUAGGAAUUUUAAUGUAUUUUUGCCUUGAGGGAAGACCUUUAUUUAGAGUCAACUUAUGCAAGCUAUGUCUUCAAGAGAAUCCUUCAAAACCAUCUUGCGUUUGGGUAACUUGUACCUUAAGAAACCCAUUUAACUUGGAGUUAAAUAGUGGUCCGACCCAAAUAGUCAAUUGUGAAUUAACAAAUCAAUUAAAUCACUUUAAUUUAAAUGGGCAUCAUAUUUUUUAUUUGAUUAAAUAGCUCAUAUAACAUUGGCUCAAUUUGUCAAUCCAAAACAUAAUGAACUUCUAUAAUUUAAUUCAAUUUAACUAAGAUCAAUUUAAUUUACUUAAUCUUGACUAAAAAUAAAUUAAAUAAAUUUUCGUUGUCUAUGUCCCCACUUCAAAACUUGGCGAGGCAUUGCAUGUUAAUUGCUGGAGGCAAGACUUGAAGUAUUAAUUUUACUGCUGACCUAAAGUCAAACUAAAUUAAAGACUUCAAGCGUUCGGCAUACGGGUGAUCCACUUUUUUUUUUUUUUUUUUUUUUUCCUUUUUCUUUGGGAAGAGAAUGGUCCACAUCAAUUGUAGAAUUGCACCUCAAAGUCCAAUUGAAUAGGCAACGGUCACGGGUCUUCACUUUCACCUACUACUUGAAUAAAGCCUUGAAGCUCUUGAAUUUUCCAACUCUUAAUUUAGUCGUCAAUGGAAGUGCAGCCCCACAAUAUUAGACCGCAACUUUGACCCGUAGAAUUAGAAACCCCCGUUUGAUUAUGCGAUGUGGGCUCCUGCGCAGAAACUCCCAUAUGCUGAAAUUUGGAGUUUGCUCGUACGUUUCUGACCACCAAAUCUUGUUUUGGCACUUGGCAAUAUGGAAUUUGCUGAGUUUCAACGCUUCCUAAACGGAACUUUAAUGUAUUUCCAAAACCAAUGUUUGCAACUUCUGAAUAAGAAUAUGCCAAAUUUUAAGAGCUUCCCAAAUUGACUUCCAGCCAUUGAAAUUAUUCUUGGGAACCAAAUUCAAAUGAUUUCCAAAAAGUUAAACGAUAAUCACUGAAUUUAGUAUCUGUCCAAAACUUAAAACUUCUUAAUAUGAUUCAUCUAAGCACCUUUAUAUAUAUAUAUAUAUAUAUAUAUAUAUAUAUAUAUAUAGGUACAGAAGACAUGUCUUUGUCUUGAAACUGUGACAAACAGGACAUUUAUGACAAGGGCGUGUGAAGACUACCACGCUAUUUGAGGGAAAAAAAACCUGUUUGACACGUAUAUCUUGAAGGUAAUCAUCUUUAUUGUCUUUUGACAACUUCAUGUUGGUCGAGUAUCAGAUAUUCACCAAAUUUUGUUGAAAUCUGUCAAAACUUGAUUUGUUUCUAAUUUGGAGAAAAAAAAAGAUUUUUUUCUUCGUUUCUGCAAUUUUCCAGGUCACUCUUUCCUCUCAACAUGUUACGAUUCAGAAAUUGAGACAAAUCUUGUACAUAGGAAUCUUUUUUAACAGCUGAUGGUUGGAAUUUAGCAGACACCUUGAAGUCAAAGAAGGCAACUAGCAUUCCAAUAGCAUUAUUUGGUUGCAUGCCAUAUCCAAGAUUUUCACUAGUAAGCCACCAUUUUCUUGCUUUUGAUUGUUAUUCUUUCUCUGUUGCACAAUUUUAUUUUCGCACAAUCCAUUUUUUUUCUUUGAAUUUUCUCUUUUGCAAAACAGAGACCACCAAGGAAAGACAGAAAGAUUUUUUGUUUUUGUUUUUGUUUUUGUUUUUGUUUUUGUUUUUUUUUUUUAUGGUUGCACCUUGUGUUGGCACCCCUUAUUUGAAGCAAGUUGAUGUUCCAGUUGUGUUGGGGAUUUUAGGGCCAUAGCUCUUAGAACUCAAAAUACUAAUGUAAUUUCCGCACUCCAUGACAUUUACUUCUUGUCAAUGCCAAACUCUCCUCUUUUUUUUUGUGAUAUGAAAGGAAGAUCUCUCGUUGCAACAUAUAUGGUGGACACUCAAUUUGAAAGAAGGUGCAACCACCAACUUGCACGAGAGCCAUAUCAUGGUUUGAGGAGUAUAAUGAAAAUGAUGCAACUGCAAACUCUUAUGAGAGCCAUAUCAUGGUUGAGAAGUACAAUGAAGAUAGUGCAAUCAAAAAUUUGAAAAAGGUGCAAUCGCAAACUCCCAUGAGAGCCUAUCAUGGAUUGAGGAGUACAACGAAGAAGGUGCCACAAAAUGUCGAAAAAUGUGCAAUCGCAAACUUGCACGAGAGCCUAUCAUGGUUUGAGGAGUACAAUGAAGAAAGUGCAACUACCCACUUCAAUGAGAGCUUACCAAAACUCGAGAAGCCCUUUCAUUUAACUUCACAUUGACUAUUUAUUACUUCUCUCACUGUCUUCGAUCACACCAUUGUAAUCAAAUUUUUUUCUCUUGCUUUUAUUGCAAGUUGGUCCUAACGAAAUGGUGAUGGUCAAGGAAGUUACAUCUUCAAACAAAAGGUACCUCCUUAUCACUAAUAGCCAUGAUGACUCUGCUGACAAAGGAAUGAAAUUAUUGGUGCAUCCCUCUAUACAAGAAACUUACUCUGGUGAUUGGUUUUCUCACAAAUAUUCCGAAUUAAAGGAUUGGUCACUAAAAUUUUCUCAAGAUGAUGGUACAAAAGUUCACUCCUUGAAAUUCCUUAUCAUAAUAAGGAGCCAAGGACAAUUGGCAGGCGAAUCAUAGAUGAAGACACACACUGGGGUGCUUCCUUGAGAUUUAGUGAUGAAUUUGGUUAUAUCGAGAAUUAUUAGGAGCGGUUGGAAGAUAUUUUUGGAAAAAACAAACAAGUGUUUCGUGAAAAUUACUUGUUCGAUGUCUUAUAUGCUUCGCUUCUCAUAUAUAACAAAAAUUCUCAUGUGUUUAGAGCAUUUUGCGAGACAUGGUGCCUAAACACUAAUACCUUGCAUAUGUCAAUUGGAGAAUUAUCUCUCUCACUUUGGGAUCUGUGUAAAUUAGAAGGACUUCCAAUCAUCGGAUACAUCUAUGAAGAGGCGAUCCCAUGUGUAGAGGAACUAACUGGAGUUAAUGAAAAGAAGUUGAUGCAUAUUCCGCAAAAUUGUGAGUAUUUGUUCGCGGCUCUGCACUACCUUCAACAUGGAGAAUACUACAAUUAUGGAGUUUCUGCUAGCCAAUAGAUUAACUUUUGGUUUAAAGGCAACGUGAGGUAUUCAAAACCAAAACAGAGAAGGAUAAAGAGAGCAUCUAGUGCUUAAGCAACCCAAAAUCCAGAUGGAAAGAUUGGACAACCACGUAAUUUUUAAUUCAAGACAAUGGCAUAUAUGAUACCAUUGGAGACAAGUCUCACUUACGAGAAGAGACUUAUCUUGUAGCAUUUAUAUCUUGUUGACUCUACGUUUUUACUCUACCAGAUGAGGACGUCUAUUAUAUUAGACUAUCUACCUUCAAAAUGGCUAGCAUGAUGGCUGUCGGAUAUAAAACUUGCCUUGCUGUUCCUGUCUUGCUGAGUAUCUAUCACGGAUUCAAUAAAAUUUCAAAUUCAUCUACUCCAAGGUGUGCGCGUGCAUUUUUUUCAAUGCACUACGUGUAUGCUUAACUGGCGAGUUAUUUCUCUACCCAUUAUUCAACUCCGAAUAUCAUGCCUGGACCAACAAUUAUCAAUUAUUCUGGAAAGGGUGUGCACAAUAUUUUGAUGAAAAUAGUGCUUGCGACCUCAUUCAUCAAGGAGACAAAGUAACUUGGGGGACAACUUCUCUUGUGAAGAAUUAAAAUGAAUUUUUUGUUGAUGAUGGCAAGUUAGCGAACCCAGAACUGAUUUAUUUCGUAAGUGCUUGCUCAAAUUAUUUAGUCUUACAUGCUGAAGGAGAUUUUCUUGUUGAGCCAUACAGGUUUGCAAGGCAAUUCGAAUUUUAUCAAAACACCCCACAAGAACUGGGAGCAGAUGUUCAUUCUACAAAUUAUGACUUGAGUCAAAUACUUUGACACAUUGCUAUUCAUAAUAAGACAGAGUCGAAGGUAUUUUUUUCUAGUUACCCCUUGAAUGCUAACAAGCAUAUAUCUCCAGAUUUUCAAACAUGAUGUUUUGAUUAAGAGUGUCCAACCAAAUUUGAAACAGAAGAAAUCGAAAGGAAAGAAACUUGCAAAUUUGAAUAAUCCUGUCAAGGUUGGCAGUAAUCUUGAGGCGAAACAGAAAAUCACCAAGACUGUGAGGAUUGAGGAGAAAGCAUUGCAGAGCUCCAGCAACUCGUGAAAUUCUAAUUUUCAAUGAAGAAUUUUCGAAUGGUAAUUCAUUUUGUCUUCCUUCAAUAAUUGUAAAAGCCACCAAUCAUGAGUCUCGCAAUUCCAAUGAAAAGAAGAGGAGCAACUCUUUUGAUGAGAAGGAUGAGCAAUCUACUAGUACAGACUAGCACUAGAAGCAUAAGAAAUUCAAGGUAAUGACUUUCUCUUUGGAUGAUAUUGUUUUAGACCCUAAAGAAAUGUUUAAGGACAUUCUGGACAAAUAUGUGCUUGGUAUAAGUCAUGCCAAUAUUAUAAGAACAUUCUCUUGCCUUCUUUAGUUUGGCAUUUGAAAUUUACUUAUCAAUUUCAUAUUCAUGAUAUGUCUCAUAACAUUUUCCAUGUAGUUGAAUGAUCAAAACUUGAUUUUUAUUAAUGAUGGGAAAUCAAGCUAAGAAUUCGUUGAAGGACCCACUAUAUUUUAACUUUUAACAAAACAAGUGGUCAAUUCUACUCAAUAAAAGGGCAUCAUUGAAAAUUUCAAAAAGGCAGUGCAUGAUGAAAAUUCAGUUCAACAAAUCAUGCUACAGAAGAAAGAACAUGUGACUUCACCGGAGAAAAAAAAGUUCAAAAUUUUUGAUCCACAACCGUAGCCAAGGGCACCUCAAGUGUCUGAAUUUUGCCCCCAAACUAUGAUCUUAACAUGUCAUCGAGAUUACAUUCAAAUGCUCUGAAAUAAUUUGAAGGUGCUGAUAUCCGAAACAAUCCUGGAACGCAUUUCUGCUCUUAAGAUGAAAGCAAAUGAAAUCAUGGAGGAAAUGCAAAGUUUCAAUGCUAUGAAUAUUUCAAACUUGUAAGGCCUUUUAAAGCCUUUCUUUACAAAACCAAUUCGUUCUGUCGUAAUAAAGUCUUCUUUCUCAAAUAAAAUUUCAAUUGAAUCAUAUAAUGAGUUGUUUUCUAUAGCUACCCAACAUCUUAGAGAUGCUCAGAGUAAGGAGAAAUAAUAACUUAAAAAGUUCUCAACGUACAUGUUAAAAUUUAAAGAGAUUGACCAUGAGAAAAUAGAGCUAAGGAAAUGACUUGAAUCUAUGGGUACUCAUAGGAUGGAAAUACUUUCACUGCUACGAAAGAAACAAGACGAGCUUACCUAAAUGCAAGGCAAGAUGAUCAACUUAUGAAAUGAAAUUCAAAAGAUUGAAGAUUCCCUAUCUUUACUUGUUGAGGAGAGCCAAACAUUGAACAAAAUGCAAGCACUACUUGAAAGCAACUGCAAAAAACUGUCAUCAUUUGAACUUUAGAAUUAGUUACAAUCUUUUACUUUUUUCAAAUUUUAUUUAUUGUCACUUGCCUAUAUUAUAUAGCCACAGGCAUAAUUAAUUUUUUAUUUCACCAUGAAUCAUGAUUUUUUUUAUUUCAUGAUACUCUUGUGGAUAUUUCUUACUUUCCUUUGUUGCUUUCAUUAACCACCAUUUUAGACUAUCGAUUGCAAAAUAAACAAUUCAACAUUUGCAUAAUUUUAAUCACAUUUGAAGAGGUAAUUGUCUACAUAAUUUGAUAAUUUGAACAAUAUACUUUCAGGUGUAUGUUGCAAAGUAAUUUGAAUUGCCCUAAAGAGAAAAACUUUUUAUCUUUUAUUGCAUGACAUCUUUAUGGGGUUGUAACUGAAUUUCGAAGUUACCAUCUAAACUGUUUGCAUAUCCCAAAAGGGAAUAAAUUCACGUGUAGUUCCUACCAUCCACAGUUUAAUUUCUUGCAGGUCAGGAGUAUCUAUUUGCUUAUCACUUUAAACUUGGUGGAGUGUUUUAGUAGUUUAACCAUAUACUACACUAUUGGUGAUUGCCGUCCACAGUUUUAACUCAUAUGGACCAAGAGCAACAUGCAGUUUAGACUCAUGUGUCAUGAAACAACAUGCAGUUUAGGGUCAUGCGUCAUGUUGUCCUUUAUUUUUUUUAUGGCGUGUAUAAUCUUAAGAAAUUUUCAUUUAUGGGUCAACAUUUACACCAUUUUGUCAACUACCUUGUACGCGUUAUUUGUAUAAACAUUUCGGAUAAUAUAUGGUCCAUCCUAUUCGGAGACAAAUUUAUCUUUAGCAUGAUGAGUCAUAACUAUUGAUUUUCGAACGGCGAACACUAUGUCACCAAUUUGAAAGGAAUGAUGAUGAUAGCUUUAGAAAGGUAAGCCUGGUAGCAUUCAAGAUUUUGUUGAGUUUCCAAUUCCUUUUCAUCUAAAGUUUCUAAUUCUUUAAGAAGCAAGCAAAUAUUUUCUUUCUCCAUGAGCCCUUAUUGGAUGGCAAUUCUCAGAGAAAGAAUUUGUUGUUCAAGAAGCAAGACAACUUCUACACCAUAAACUAAGGCAUCAGGGGUGGCUUGCAUUGGAAUUCGAUAUGUGGUGCGAUAAACGCAGAGAGUUUCACCUAUCAUUUCAUGCCAAUCCUUCUUUGAUCUGGCCAUCACUUUUUUCAACAAGUUGCAUAGAGUUUUAUUGAAUGCCUAAACAAUACUGUUGGCAGGGACAUUAUACAUAAAGGACUUGCGAUGUUUGAAUUUAAAUUUCUCACACAACCUAUCCAUUAAACAGUUGAAGAAGGGUUUCCAUUAUCAGUGAUAAUGUGUUAGAGAAUUUCAUAACGAUAAAUAAUAUUUACACGAAUGAAAUUCACCAUAUCUUCUUUUCUCACUUGAGUGGUAUAGUUUCAUCCCAUUUAGAGAAGUAGUUGGUUGUAACCAAUAUAUAUAGAUGUUGUCCGAACGACUUAGGCAAUGGUCCAACAACAUUAAGGUCCCAGGCAUCAAAAGGCUAAGAAGUAAUAGUCAAAUGUAAUAGUUCGGGUAAUUGAUGAAUGUAAUUUGCAUAGAAUUGACAAGUUUGACACCUUUGAGCGUAUUCCAUACAAUCUUUGACCAUAGUAAGGCAAUAAUAGCCCAUCAUUUUAAUCCAAAAAUGCAACUUGGGACCGAAUUGGUGAGUUUGACAUAUUUCAAAAUGUGCCUCUUGCAUAGCUUGAUAUUCAUUAUCUUCAUUCAGACAGCGCAAGAAUACACUUUCAAAUGAUUUUUGAUAUAGCGUAUCUUUGUAUAAGAUGAAACGGGGGCACGACAAUAGAUAUCAAAUCUUUUAUGUUGCUCCUUAGGUACCUUUUGAUACUUGAUAUAAUUGAUAACAGGUUGUCUCCAAUCUUCUUUAUCAACUUCAUAAGUUGAGACGACAUAAGCAUCACCUUCCUCAAUAUUUUCAUUAUCAAAUAAUGGUGAAACUAUCCACUUUUGAUACACACGAACUUGUAUUUCAUAAUUUGACAUAGUCAGAGAAGAAGCAAGCAUAGCUAAUGCAUGAGUUUGCUUAUUUUCUCUUUUAGGGACAUGUUCAAUACUUGUACCUUCAAGUUACCUUAUAAGUUGCGUUGCAUUCUUGUGAUAUGGAAUUAAUUUAAAUUUUUUAACAUCAUAAUUUCCCAAGGGUUGACUAACGACUAAUUGUGAGUUGCCAUAGAUUUGAAACUCAAAUUAUUUCAUGUCAAUAGUUAUUUCAAGUCCGAAUAUGAGGGUUUGAUACUUAACGACAUUAUUUGAACAACGUUGAUUUAGAAUAAAGGAGUAUGGCAAAACUUCUUCAUCAGAUGUUGUAAAUACAAUUUUGACUCCAACUCCAUGACGAUGAGUAGCAGAUUUCAAUAAGGAGUACAUUUUUAUUUGGUAGAUCAUCACUUAACUCCCAUUCAACAAGUAUCGGGUGAUCAAUAAGAAAAUCUACUAGUACUUAACCCUUCACGGCCUUUUGGAAUACAUAAAUAAUUUUAAAUUAUUGUAACUAGGUACCAUUUAGCUAGACAGUUGGAUAGUGUUGGUCUACUUAUCACGUAUUUUAUGAAGUUUGCCUUGAAGAUGAGUCUCACACUGUGUGCUUGAAAGUAGUGUUUUAACUUCUAUAUUAUAAAAAUAAGAGUUAAACACAACUUUUCAAUCGGUGAGUAGUUUAAUUUAUUAGAGAUCAUCAUAAAUAAUAAAGGGCAGUUUCUUUCACUUCAUUAUUUUCUUGUGCAACCAAUACCUCCACUAAACGUUCUUGGGUAACAAUGUAAAGAAUUAAUGGCUUUCUAUAAAUAGGUUCAAUCAAGACAGAUGCCUUCAUGAGAUAAGAUUUAAUGCUAUUGAAUGUAUUGCUGUACGCUUCAUUCCAUUGGAAUGGUACACCUUUCUUCAUAAGGUGAUUAAAUGGUUGACACCUUUCAAUUAAAUUUGAGAUAAACCUCCACAGAUAGGUUAAUCGCUCUUGAAGGCUUUUUAUUUCUGAAUAUUGCGAGAUUCAGGCAUUCUCAAUAUAGCAUCAAUGUUGACUCGAUCAAUUUUAAUACCUCGAUGACAGACCACAAAAUCAAGAAACUUUCCUGAUGUAACUCUAAAUGCACAUUUGAGAGGAUUCAAUUUGAGUUGAUAUAUUUUCAACCGAUCAAAAUUUUGUUUCAAAUCCUCCAAGUGAUUAUUUCUUUUUUUUUUUAUUUAACAACCAAAUCGUCCAUAUAACAUUUAAUAUUUUUAUGAAGCAUGUCAUCAAAAAUAUUUUACAUUAAUCUUUGAUAUGUAGUUUUGAUAUUUUCAAACUAAAGGGUAUUAUGUUAUAACAAUAAAUACCCUUAGGAGUAUGAAAUCUAGUGAGUUAUUUAUCCUCAGGUGUUAUUCGAAUUUGAUUAUAGUUAGAAAAGCUAUCCAUAAACGACAAACCCUCAGACCCAAUAAUUGCAUUAAUCAUGAGUUUGGUGAUGGGUAGAGAAAAAUCAUCUUUGGAACAAGCACUGUUAAGAUCCCUAAAAUUUACGUAGAUGUGAAUUUGCCUGUUCUUCUUUCGUACAGACAUGAUAUUUGAAAUUCAUGUGAAAGACUUAAAUUCAUGAAUAAAUCCAUCAUCAGUGAAUUUAUUGAUUUCAACUUCGAUCAAAUAGACCAAAUCGGGUCUAAAUCACCAUUGUACUUACAUUACAGGUCGAACUCCCUUUUUAAUAGGUAAAUGGUGGACUGCUACUUUUGAAUUUAGACCUAACAUUUCUUUAUAAGUUCAUGUAAAAAUAUCUUGAUACUCUUGCAAGAACUCAACAUAUGUCUUCUCUUCAUCAGAAUUCAAUAAAGCACUUACCUAUAUAGGAUAUGGGUCCUGUGAAGUGCCAAAAUUGAUUUUUUAAGUCAUCUACAGUGGCCUUAACGCCUUGUUCAAAUUCAGGUGAAGCAUCUUCAACAUCUUCUUCUUCUCCAAGGGAAUUAUUAUCAAAUAUGGUUAUAUGGUUGUAUGAAACAAUACUUUCUUCAUCAUCUUCCUUUGAUCUUGUUUCUACAAUAGUAUGCUCUCUAACCUUUAGUUCAGUCCCAUAAAUUAUUAUAAGAUUUGUACAUCUCCUCAUUCUUGAGAGAAUAAUGUUACCAAACUUAUAAAUGUUAUGGGGACAAUCAAAAGAUUCUUCAAAUUCUUUCAGUGAUUUUGUCAUUCUCCAUUUAUUCUUAUGAGAAUUUUGAGACUUUUAUUUUCUUUGUGGUCCUAGUCUUUUGAAGACGAAUACUCACAGAGCCUUAUCCCUAUUUUUAUGAAAAACGUGUGACUUAUUGACUAUUUUAGAAGAUUCAUCUCUUAUAGCAAUAAAUUGACUACCAGCUCUAUUGAUUUUGAUGCGAAUUGGUACAGGUGAAAAAUAGUAAAGAUCAGAUUUAGAAUUCUUAACAGCAUAUCCUUUCCCUUUCAACAUCUUUUGAGUAAGGUUUAACCCAUAAGUCACAUCGCUAGUGGCUUGAGGAGGUUUCAAUACCAGAGAUUUCUUGAAAUCAUACCCAAUUUUGGUAAGAAGUUUAUAAGCAAUAUAAUCAAAAGCUUCAUUAAUUCUUGACGUCAGUAGCAUAUCUUGCUUGAUGUCAAACUCUUUAUUAAGAUGAUCAAACCCUUUGAUUAAAGGCGAUGGUAUAUUCGUAGCAUCAAGUUUAGCCACAGGAAGAGUUAAUCCUUUCAGAGUUUUGUGUGGAAUUGAAGAUGGUUGUCCUUGUCCCAAUCUUGACUUGGGAGGGUAUCCGAAGACAACUGAUUUAUUUUUUAACAAUGAGGCAUCAAUUUUUUUAUGAACUACCUCUUUUGAUUUUGGAAUCACCACUUUCUUCGUUUUGCACUUGAUGAUUCGAGAUCUUGGAUUUUAACCAUAGAUGGAGAUUGUUUAAACUCAUUCUUUAUGUUAUACUGAUUUAUUUUUUAACAAUGAGGCAUCAAUUUCUUUCUGAACUACCUCUUUUGAUUUUGGAAUCACCACUUUCUUCCUUUUGCACUUGAUGAUUCGAGAUCUUGGAUUUUAACCACAGAUGGAGAUUGUUUAAACUCAUUCUUUAUGUUAUAUUUUUGGAUAUAAAAUUUAGCAUUAGCGAUAUGCAUUUCUACUUCAGUGUAAAGAUUAUAAUCAGUUUUCACACUUUUUACCACUCCAUUUCGGUAAUACUUGAAAUAUUGGUGAAGAGUUGAAAGCACAACCCCAUUUUCAUGAAUCCAGGGUCUUCCCAGUAGCAUAUUAUUUAUUGUUUUAGUAUCUAUUACAUACAGUUGUGCUUUAGACAAUAUAUCAUCGAUAACUAUCUCUAAAUUUAACGAUCCAAUAGCUCUUUGCCCUCCUUGAUUAAGGUCUUGUAUUAUUAGUCAGCUUAUUGGAAAGUUUAUCAAUGGAGAUGCCAAAUUCCUUUAGAGUUUUUAAGACAAGGCUAUUGACAGCAGAACCUCUCUCUAUCAAAAUUUUAUUCACAUUUUAUUUUUUAGCAUAAACAGUUACAAACAAAGGACGGUUAUGUGAUGUUGACCCAAAAAACAAGUUGAUAGGGUGUUAAUUGUUAGUAAUUUUAUUGCUAUUUUUCCCCUUUGUCCUUGCCAAAUAUUAUUUUAAUUGUUAACAUAUACUUAUUUUUGGUAUUUGGACCAAUCUACAGGAAGUGGAACUGACAAAUGCUAAAAAGGAGAUUUUAUUGAGAAAAAUCCUUCACAUGCUAGAGCCUCCAGCGGAUAUACAAGUUGGGCCCACAUGGUGUUACAAAUUCGGUUGCUGAUGGGGAGCUCUUAUUAUUGGGAGUUGACUUGUACGUGUAGGAGUCCUCCUACCAAGAGGAAACAAGAAAAAAGGAAUUCGGCAGAGGCCCAUCUUUUGUACUUAGCUUUCUCAAUUCGGUAGGGACCAUGGACUAGAGGUUUUCAUUAGUGAUUGGACUUUAAAAGGGAAGAAACGUAUAGAGGCUUGGGGAUUAUUAUGAUUAGCGUAGCUUUAGUUUUAGUGGUUAGCUAGCGUUUCCUUUUCAUGCGCACGAGGUGCUCGACAAUAUUUUUCAACGGGAAAAAAAAACAUCUUUUACUCUUGCUUUCUAGUGAAAAACUUGAUGCCUUUGCAAUCAAUUAAUUUGCGUGGAGAUUUAAUUAUGCGGCGUGGCUAAGCCUUUUAUCUAGUCAAGGAUCAACUCGACGGCGCAGUCCCAAAUAUCUGUGAGAUCUAAUUAGUUUUCACGCGUUUCUUAAUUUGUUAAUAUUUGCAUGUUGCCUAUUUGAAUUUCCACGGGAUUAUUUUGUUAAUUGGAUAUCAAGAGCCCGAUGUUCAAUGUGACUUAUUAAUUUCCUGCCAAAUUAGUCAAUUAAAUCCGUAAUUGUUUGAUUGAUUAAUAUUAGUAGCAACUGACAUGUUUACACACUAGAAGAACGUGCAAUCUAAUUUAAAUAACCCUCGUAGCGUGUUAUUGAUUGGGAUUAGAUUUUUCUAGUUAUUAAUGCAAUUGGGAAAUUAAUUCAUACAGUUGUACCUAGGAGUAUUUUCUGGUUAGGAGUAAUCAUUGGUCGUACCUUGGUUAUCAAUAAAUUAAGGAAAAAUUGGUCGUUAGAAUUCGUCGGCGACUAUAACUAGCCUAUUAAUAAAUUAAGUGAACCUCCCUUGCAUCAAUGAUCGGGUAAGUGGACUGUGUCUGAGUAGUUGUAUUCUUAACUAAAAUUUAUCUAUUCUUGAUUUAAUUCCUGCCUAUAUUCGUGCUAAUUAAUUAUUUAUUUUUAGUGAAUUGCUUAAUUAUUUUUAGUUUUACUCCAAUAAAAUUCCUCUUUACCAAUUGGAAUCUCAAAAAGACAAAUAUUCUCAGUCCCUGAAGAGACGACCCUACUUGCCAUUGUCUACUAUUUAGUAAGUUUUGUCAACUAAUUAAUUUUGGUAUAUCGGAUUAAGCAAAUUUUUCGGGAACAGGGUGAAUUAAGUAACCUAUUGCACAUCUAGAGUCCCGGCUCUAAUAUCUAGGAUUCAUUAUUGACUGCUUUUAGUGGUAUUUAGGUUAUUAUUAUUAUUAUUGCACAGUCUCGACACCUGUCAAUUUUUGGCGUCGCUGCCAGGGACUGGCGUUAAUUAUUUGUUUUUUUAAGUUCAAUUUUGUUCUAAUUUUCUGGUAUUUUUUCUAAUUUAUGCAUCAUUCUUCUCGUAUAAGUGAAUUAAUUUUCGACCCUGAAGUAGAGAAGAUCGCGCGUAGAACGAGAAAAGAAACCAGACAAUUCAGAGAAGAGCACUCAAGUACUACAUCUCAGAGACUUGAGCCGGAAGUUGAACCGGCAAAUUCGUUUGGUAACACUUCGAGUGACUCGGAUCAAGAGAAACUCACCAUGGCAAAUGCACAAACAUUAAGGGAGUUGGCUGCUUCUAAUUUAAAUCAACAGCCUUUAUGCAUUGCUUUCCCAAGUUUGAAUGAUGACACCCUCUUUGAACUAAAAUCUGGUCUAAUUCAUCUCUUGCCAUCUUUUCAUGGUUUACCAGGUAAGGAGCCCUACAAACAUUUACAAGAGUUUGAUGUUGUUUGCAACAGUAUGAAACCCCCGGGAAUCACAGAAAAGCUGAUAAAAAUGAGGGCCCUCCCCUUCUCUUUGAAGGAUUCAGCGAAAGAUUGGCUAUACUACCUACCACCAGGUAGUAUCACCACGUGGGACCAGUUGAAAAAAAAAUUCUUAGACAAAUAUUUUCCUGCGUCUCGGGCCGCCAGCUUAAGGAAAGAGAUAUGCGGUAUCAAACAACACCCAGGCGAGUCUCUCUAUGAGUACUGCGAGAGGUUUAAGAAGCUGUGUAUCAAAUGCCCUCAGCAUCAGAUAAGUGAGCAACUGCUCAUCCAAUAUUUCUAUGAGGGACUACUCUUCACGGACUGGAGCAUAAUCGAUGUUGCCAGUAAAGGGGCGCUAGUGAACAAGACCCCUCGAAAAUCUUGGGAGUUGAUUGAGGGGAUGGCUGAAAAUUCACAGCAGUUUGGUGGGCAGUGGCGAUGGCGAAGGCUCGCGGGGGUGGAAGAGCCGUUGGCGCGACUGGGGCCGCGCGGCUGCUAGAAUCUAGUUGCAUCAGUCUCUGUGGUCCUUGGGAUCUUUGAUUCGGCUGUUCCAUAGCUUGUCGAUCCUUUGUUGCAUCCCUGUAGGCAUUGUAAUUCCUGUUGAUUGAGUUGUUAUCUAGUUUUUGAGGGCACCUCUAGUAGUUCCUUUAUUUGGGAGUUAUUUGGGGUUGAGUUGGGAGUUAUUGGCCAAUUGAUUCCUAUUUUGCUUUCGUCCUGUUUCUGGUACUGUAUGGUUUUGAUUGGGGGGUGUCUCAGUGGUUUGGGUUGCCUGUUUGAAUUGGUUCUUACCUGUGUGUGCACCAGUGGUACUGGUUGUGUUGGGAAUCCGUGACUGAUUUGUUCUUGUCCAAUUGAAGCCAUUUUGAGCAAUUUUGGGGUGAACACAUUUUGUCAUUAAUUGUUGAUUGUUGGGGGACGUUUUUGGUAACACUUGAGUUGAUAGGGUGUUAAUUAUUGGUUAUUUUAUUAUUAAUCUCCCUUUUUAUUCUUGCCAAAUAUUGCUUAAUUGUUAAUAUUUACUCAUAUUUGGUAUCUGGACUUAAUUUCAGGAAUGAAGUAGAAAACUACCAAAAAGGAGGGAUUUUAUGGAGAAUAUGGAAACUUCUAAGGGCUUCAAUUCUUGGGCCCUUGAAUUGGUGGGGACCACAAGCUAGUGAAAGGCAUUUAGUCAUUUGAGCUCUUCAAAAGAAGCUACGUAUAUUUUAUUUUAUUUUAUUUUAUUUAUUUUAUUUAUCUCUUAUUUUUUUUUAUAUAGUUUAUGGCUUCUAACACUUCGUAUUUUGGUGAUAUACUGGAUUUUGUUUCCGGGAAAGGCAAUGUGACUAGUUUUUUUGCUAAGUCUGCAUAUGCAGAGGCACUAAACUCUAUUAGAGAAAGAAUGGCUGCUGCAACCUGUAAAAUUUGUUAUACCAGGGAUCAUUCAACCGGUAUGUGCCCCGAAUAUCAAGAUAAUCUGAGUGUCCCAUUCGAUAAUUAUGGAGAAUUUUCACCCUGGUCUCAAACGUGGUACGACCCUAAUCCAAACGGGUAUGAUCAAGGAUGGUGGGAUAACUCCAAUUAUAAUUAUACAACGGGACCAAUGAAUUUUCAGCAGUAUGAGUCUCAAGAAUCGUCAUCUAUGUCAGGUAUGUCUCUUGAAGAAAUAGUUGAACCAAUAGCUACUAACACAUACCAAUUCCAACAGGAGACACAAAUGAGGAAUGAGAUGAUGAAGGAUGCAAUGAGUUAUCUGGCAGAUCAACUAUGUCUAUUGACAUCCAGAAUAAAUCGAUGGGCUUCUCAAAUGGAAGAACUGCCCUCGAAAACCAUUGUUGACCUAGAAGAAAAUGAGAGUGCAAUUUGCUUGACUAGUGAUGAGGAGAUGCAAGAGUGUCAAAAUGAAAAAUCUACAGAUACAGUUGAAAAAGAAGCCGAAAAGGAAGAAAUGGAACCCCAACCGCAACCCAUUCAAGUGAAAGAAUCCAGUGAAGAAUCAUCAAAUGUGGUGACACCACCUCCAUUCCCUAACCCGCAUUUUUUCUAACUCUUACUCUAUGAUUUCUGUUAAUGAGAUUGAUUUUGUUAUACCGGAAGUUUUUGAGUCUCAUGGCAGAAAUAAGUUGAGAGUGGAGAUGGCGAAAUAUCUUGAACCGUUGAAUGCUCUUGAUGGAGGAAUGGAUGAAGAAUUGCGAUCAAUGCUUGAUUAUGUGGCGCCAUCAACUAGUCCAUGGAAGCCCGUGGUUCGUGUGCUCAAAGAUUACUCCAUCUAUGAGGGUUACCAGGAUCAUAUUGAAGAUGAAGCAUUGAAGCGAGCUACAAGAUUUUAUCCUCCAUGAACAAGACAUAACAAUGUCUAGCCAAAGACAUUAAAGAAAGGCGUUUUUUGGGAGGCAACCCAAAUAUUGAUUUUAUUAUUUUUAGUUGUUCAAUUCUUUCGUUCUGUUGUUUCUCAUUUGGAUAGUAGUUGGUCUUGAUAUUUUUCUCCACUGUGAUCAGGAAGUGAAAUCUUGGCGUGCCCACGCGGUGUUUAGGUCUCCUGAGAUCAGAGGACGAACACCAAUCUUGGCGUGCCCACGCGGUGUUUGGGUCUCCUGAGGUCAGUGAAUGUUUUGUAAUCUUGGCAUGCCCACGCGGUGUUUGACGACCCAAAACAUGAAAAAAAAAAAGUUUCAAAAUUUCACAUUGAGAAAAUUCAAAAAUUCAAAAGGCAUUUUUCUUUUUCUUCAAAAAUUCAAAUUUUGGAAUUUCAAAUUCAGGAAAAAAUUUGAAAAAAAAACAUUGAGAAAAAAAAACCCAAAAAGAAAAAAUUAAGAUUCAAAAAAAAAAAAAAACUAUUUUUUUUUCUCUCUUUUUCUUUUUCUCUUUUCUUUUUCUUUUUUCUUUUCUUCUUUUUUCUUUCUUUCUUCCUUCACCACCGCAGCAGCUACCCCACGCGACUCUCCUCCGCCUACCCCAGCGCACAGCCCAGGCCACGCGCUCCCUCCUUCCUGCAGCCCGUCGACGAAGCCCACCAGCCACCACCAGCAGGCCGCGGCUCCUUCCCCCUUGCGCGGCCACAGCUCGCGAACCACCUCUCCCACAGCGCGCGGCCUUCUCCCUUAUCUUUUGGCCGCGCGUCAUUGGCUCGCCCAAGGGCAGCCGCCGCCGCCGUUCCUCACAGUCAAGCAAUCGCAGGCCAAAGCCCACAACCCCAGCCGGCGCCGCCCGCAGCUCCUCGUGCGUGACAGCCGUGCGACGCCGCGCCUCCCUCAGCAACAGCUCCAAGCUCCAGCUCACUCGCAGACAGCCGCGCGAUUCUCAGCCAUUCACCUCGCGCGACCCCGAGCGCACAAUUCCGCGUGCCGCCAUCGAAGACCGCCGCGCCUCUCCCUCAGCCCGCCAUUGCGCCCCACCACUGUCCCGCUGUCUACGGUUGGGCACAAGGGAGGUACUUUUAAAAGAAAUUUUUAAUUUAAAUACGAGAAUGUCAAUUUCUAAAUUCUGGGGCUGUUUAGUGAUUGUUUGGAUUUCUUGGUGGAUUUGGUUGGCCGUCUGAUUAAAUUCUUCCUUGUGUGAUAACCAGUGGUACUGGUUGGGGUCUUUCGACCAUAGUUGUUGCUUAUAUUUGGUCAGAUGUCUGCUUGUUUGAAAGUUCACGUUCUUGUGAUUGAGUUGUUGCUCAAAUUCUGAUCUGCUGUUGCUAGAACUUUUGGUUGGUUGAGUUGUGCAAUUGACUGUCCAAUUGGAGACAGUUAUUGAGAUCUUAGGUGGGAUGGUGUCCAAUUGCUAAAAUUUGUUGCUUUGUUUCGUCACUCGCACUGCUCCUAGUUUGUUCGAGUGAAAUUGGUUGGAUGUUCUUUGCCCGUGGAGUGUAACUGUUACAUUGUUUGGGGCAGUUUUUUGGUAUUGAUUGAAUUGUUGGGCGUAAAUUGCUCAGGACUUUACAUUGCUAAUUUGGUGGGCCAUUUAUUGUGCAUUACCCUUUUGAAUUGGGAGAUACCUGUGCUUAUUGGGUUUUGACUACUUGAGAUUUCUGUUGCAUCUGGGGGAUAAAAUUUGAUGACUUUUGUGCCAGUUUAUUUGUUUGGAAAUUGUUGGGGGUAAUUUGGGAGUUACUUGUCAAUUGGGUCCCGUGUUACCCUCUACCAUUCAGUGGUACUGAUUGGUGUGUUUGGCUUUAUCACAUGUCUUGGGUUGGCCAUUUGAUUUCAAUUUUCCUUGUGCAUGCACCAGUGGUACUGGUGAGGGUAGUUUACAUAAUAUUUGUUACUCCUGUGUUAUUGGUUGCCUAAUCGACUACUGGGCAUUUGUGGUUGAAUUGUUUCUGUCCAACUUCUGAACUGUUGUUGCUGGAGUGCCAUUUUCUUGGGUCAAUUGCUGAUUUUAGCAAGUUGAAGUGGGUAAUUGACUGUCCAAUUGGAGACAGUUGUUACGAUAUUGGGUCCGAUUGUGUCUAAUUGCUGGAAGUUGUUGAUUUAUUAAGACACUAGCACAGUUCCUAGUUUGUUCGAGUUGCUGUUCUGUUGCAUUAUUGGGAGCUGUGCUCUAGUAUUGUGGCUACUUUCCUGCGUUUAUUUGUUGAAUUGGGAUAUGAAUGUGCCUAUUGCUCAUUUUGUUGCAUCUAAUUGACUUGCUUGGGGUAAUCUGCCCAUCAAUUUUAAUUACUCAAGUCUUUGGAGCAGUUGUUGCACAUUUGGACUACUUUGUUUCUAUAUCUGACUGAAUUGGGACCACAAGUGCUUAUCAAUUGCAUUUGCUAUAAGUAUUGGGGUAUUCGUAUAGAUUUUAGGAGCCUGCAUUGUGCAUUUUAUUGUUUGGGUUGCCUACUAGUUACCAUGGUGAAGCCACGAUCCUCCCCCAGGGGCCGAUGACUGGCUCCAACUUUCGAUGACAGUUGAGAGACUGGAGACUCGAGUGACCCACAUUGACAUCGACUUGCAUAACAUGGCGCAGAAUUUGGCAGCACUCCGCCCGACCCGCCCCUGUUUUGACAAUUUCAAGGAAGUACCGUUGCCCUUCUCUUUACUUUUGUUGUUGGUUUAUCACAUUGAGGGCAAUGUGUGAUUUAGGUGUGGGGGGAUCAGUUUGGGUGCUAGUAUUUUUAGUUUUUAGGUUCUAGAGGUUUUUCUUUUGUUUUAGUUUGAUAUUUAGUUCUUUUUUUUUCGUCUAUUUUAUUUUAUUAUUAUUAUUUUUUUUUCUUUCUCCUUUUUUCUAGUGGUCAGUCUUCAUAUGAAUACCAAGUUUGAUACUGGAUUGUUGUCUCUAAUUCUGCUAUUGCCAAGUCUUAUUAAUAAAAGGGUAUUAAGUUAAUGUGCUUGAGUUCAGGAAUAUCUCUUUGGUGAAUAUCGGUAAUUGCUUAACUUUUUCAAUUUUUGGUUAACUUUUCUAGGCAUAGGGAAUGAUUGUUGGCAUUUUUCAUGUGAAUUGGUUCAGUUAUUAAUUUUAGUUCUCCAUGUCUGGAAAUUUGAGGCUGGCUGCUGUUAAUCUUAUGUUGCUUUUAGAUAUCGUGUUAUAUGGUUGUAAAUAAGAGUUGACUGUACUCCGCUAGUGGUUACUACUGAGUAACCGGGGAUUUUCACCUAAAGUGUCGAUUCUCGCGUCAAAAGGUAGUAGUUGCUAUGAAUGCGUGGUCCUGUAGCGAUCGGAGCUGAGUAACCGGGCUCCUCCAUCUGAUAAAUGUUGGAGUUCGCGUCAAAAGGCUCUAAAUGGCUAGAGACUAAGUCUUUUGCUAUUCCCAAAAAAAAAAAGAAAAAAAACAAGUAAAGUUUGUGUUAGUAUUUAAAAAAAAAAAAAAGAAAGUCAGCUUGCCUAUUUGUGAUCUUAAUGUCGAGAUUUUGGUUAAUAGAUGGACCAUUUGCUGAUAAAUGUGAGCAACCAUUCCUUUUCCUUAGAUUAGUUUGCUUCAAAUUGAAGGAGUUGGUGGUUUAGAGGCUAAUCGGGGUGAUUUUUCUUGGAUGUUGACCUGUGAUGCUUGAUAUUUAUUUUUCUUGGACAUCUUGGCAAUACGGUAGUUGGAGUAACAGCCAUGGUCAACUUUUGGUGUUCAAUUGUUGUUCCCAUACUUGAGGGCAAACAUGAUUUAGGUGUGGGGGGAAUUGAUAGGGUGUUAAUUAUUGGUUAUUUUAUUAUUAAUCUCCCUUUUUAUCCUUGUCAAAUAUUGCUUAAUUGUUAAUAUUUACUCAUAUUUGGUAUCUGGAUUUAAUUUCAGGAAUGAAGUAGAAAACUACCAAAAAGGAGGGAUUUUAUGGAGAAUAUGGAAACUUCUAAGGGCUUCAAUUCUUGGGCCCUUGAAUUGGUGGGGACCACAAGCUAGUGAAAGGCAUUUAGUCAUUUGGGCUCUUCAAAAGAAGUUACAUAGAGAGACUUGGAGAAAGAAGUACUUUGGAGGCUUUGUCCAUAUGUGUGGGGACCACCUAGAUAGCUUUUAGUCAUCUUUCUUUUGUUGCUUUAAAAGGGGACAACGUACAGAAGCAAAGGACAUCUAGGGCUUUAGUUUUAGUUUUUUUAGUUUAGUUCUAGUUUCCUUUCUUUGGACUGGCCUCUGACACACGCCAGGUGUUCGACAAUAUUCCCCAACGGGAAGAUUUUCUCAUGAGGCGUGGUUAAGCUUUUCUAGUCAAGGGGACAACUGACGAUUUGGUUCGACAAUUACUGUGAGAUCGAAUCUGUUUUAAUUAUUUUCUUCAUUUAUUGGUAUUUAUAUGUUCCUUGAUUUUAAUUGCUAUGGCCUUGUGUAUGAUUGAUUAGUGCGCAAUAAUUAAUUAUUCAUAUAGGCUAUUUUUGCUAAAUAGGGGUAAUUGAAUCCGUAAUUGUUCGUUAUCUCUACCUCAGUAGCAACUGGCGUAAAUGGGUUUAUGUCAGGGGAGCAUAUGAUCUAAUUUAAACAAACCCUCGUAGCGUGUUUGUUGGUUAGGAUUGGGCCUUUCUAAUUAUUAAUGCAAUCUAGAAAUUAAAUCCUACGGUCGUACCUAGGGUUGUUUUUGGGUUAGAGAAAUAGCUAACGGUCGUACCUUAGCUAUCGAGAAAUUAAGGAAGGGUUGGUUGUUUAUCGCGUGCAUGACAACUAUAACUAAUCUAUUGCUAAAUGUUGGAAUUAUUUCUGCAUCAAUGAUCAGUGCAUGAACCAUUUCUGAUGUGUACCCUUGGCUAGAGUUUCCCCAAUCAUUUCUUUUAAUUAAUUAUUUUCUGCAGUUAAUUUAUUUAGUUAGCAUUUAAUCCAAAACCCCCCAUACUUUGGACUCUAGAAGAAACGAAUUAUCCCCAAUCCCUGUGGAUUCGACCCUACUCACCGCUAUAUACAAAAUCUGUAUCUUUAUUGAGUAGGUAUUUAUUAUUGUACAGGUUCGGCACCUGUCAAUUUUGGGGUGAACACAUUUUGUCAUUAAUUGUUGAUUGUUGGGGGACGUUUUUGGUAACACUUGAGUCUAUUUUGCUGAGUUCUGUUGAUAGAGCAGUUAUUUGGCACAUUUUACAGUGUUAUUUUGUCCUAAUUUUGGCUAUUCAUGGUGUUAAGAAUUGGAAUAUCACUCAUAUUUGAUGUUUGUGUGAAUUGUAGGUGGUCGGCAUUAAAAAUGACCUCUCAAGGCAAAUUUCUAGAAGACUCUUCGUCUCAGAGCAUGGCCACGCCAGAGAAGGUCGAUGUUACCGAAAAGCCGGACCCCGGUCCACGUGAACCGCAAGGAGCACGGGAUUAAAGCUCUAAAAGGCUAGCUUUUGUUUCAAUCAAUUGGGUCAGACAUGACUUGGCUCCUAGAGGCUUCAAUUAAAAAAGAAAAGAAAGGGCCAGACGUCGAGGGAAUGAGAAUGAGGAAACUAGGUCUACAUGGACCAGCUACACGGGAUAAAAACUCCAAUGAAGAGAAGAGCUCUGCUCCGCGUGGAUUUCCCCUGCGGCACUAUAUAAGACAACAAAAAAGGUGAUGCAGCGGAGAAUAUAGAUUAGCUUUGAUUUUCUUUUCGAGAGGGGUCAGGCGAUUGCAGACUUUUGUAGCUUUUCGGUUGUGACACUUGGACUCCUUGGCUUUUGUUUUGACUCUGCACAAUUUACGUUAGUUUUUGUUCGUACACUUGCGGCACCAAAGCAAAGACGAAGGCAGUGCCUUCUCUGUUGUUACUGCAAUUAAUUCCCCUUCCCCAAUUUUCGGCGAAUAAUUGAAUGAAUUCAAUUAAAUCACGCGGGAUUGACACGAUAAGGAGCGGCUAAUUUUCUCCUCUACCCAAAGGUUGACGCGAAGGCGCGGUCCAUAAUAUCUGUGAGAUCUAAUCGAAUUUUCAUUAUUUCUUUCAAUUUAUUGCUAUUCGUACGUUUCCUGAAUUAAUUGUUCAUGAGUAUUUUACUAAUUGAAUAUCAACGGCCGGGUAUUUGAUUUAAUUUAAUAGUCUACUGCCACGUUAAUUAAAUAGAAUCCGUAAUUGUUCAUUUAGUUAACACCUCGUGGCAACCACCAUAAUUGGCUUUAUGAUGGGAAAACGCAAGAUCUAAUUUAAAUAAACCCUCUUAGCGUAUUUAUUGGUUAGGGUUGGAUUCUUCUAGCUUUAAUGCAAUUGGGUAAUUAAAUUCUCACGGUCGUACCUAGGGUUGUUAUCUGGUUAGAGAAGCAGUCAAUGGUUGUACCUUGACUAUCGAAAAAGUAAGGAAGAACUGGUUGUCAGAGCUUAUUGAUAACUAUAACCAACCUAGUGAUGAAUGGAUGAAAUACCUUUGCAUUGAUGAGCAUCUGUCUUGAGUCCAUUGAAGUGCCGUUGGUUGAGUAAUUUCUGCGUCUUUUUGUUGAAUUGGAAGGCUAUUGUGACACUUCCAUUGCACUUUCGGAAUGCAUUGUUUCUGUAUUUGACUAAAUUCAGGCCACCAGUGCUUCUUGAUUGCAAUCACUGUGCUGUUGGGGUAUUUGUACAGCUUUGAGUACCUGAAUUGUGUUUGUGUUGGUUGGAGUACCAUUUAUAGAGAAUGGUGAGACCUAAAUCCUCCUCUAGGUCUAGGACACCUAGAACUUCUCAGCCUCCUCCCACCCUAGGGGCUAACGAUUGGCUCCAACUCCGAAUGCAAGUUAAGAGACCGGAGAUUCGAGUGACCCACAUUGACAUCAACUUGCAUACCAUGGUGCAGAAUUUGGCAACAAUUAUGCACCAUGCGGGUCUUGUUCCUCAGUUUCCGUCUGACCCACCCCUGUUUUGACGACUUCAGGGAAGCACCGGUGCUCUUUUGCUUACUUUUGCUAUUAAAUUAUCACAUUGAGGGCAAUGUGUGAUUUAGGUAUGGGGGGGAUCAGUUGUGGUACUAGUAUUUCCAGUUUUUGAUUUUUAAGUGUUUUUCCUUUGUUUUUAGUUUGAUAUUUUUCUCUUUUUCGUUUAUUUCUUUUAUUCGUGAUCAGCUCUUAUUUGAAUACCAAGUUUUGAUGUUGGAUUGUUGCCUCUAAUUCUGCUCUUGCCAAGUUUUAAUAAUAAAAGGGUAUCAAGUUAAUAUGGUUGAAUUCAGGAACAUCUCUUUGGUGAAUAUCAAUAAUUGCUUAACUUUUCCAAGUUUUGGUUAACUUUUCUAGGCAUAGGGAAUGAUUGUUGGCAUUUUUCAUGUAAAUUGGUCCAAUUAUUAAUUUUAGUUCUCUAUGUUUGGAAAUUUGAGGCUGACUGCUGUUAUUUUUAGUUAUUGUGUUAUAUGAUUGUAAAUAAUAGAUAACUGUACUCCAUUAGUUGUUACUACUGAGUAACCGGGGAUUUUCACCUAAAGUGUCGAUUCUCAUGUCAAAAGGUAGCAGUUACUAUGAGUGCGUGGUCCCGUAGCGAUUGGAGCUAAGUAACCGGGCUCCUCCAUCUGUCAAAUGUUGGAGUUCGCAUCAAAACGCUCUAAGGGUUAUAAACUAAGUCUUUUGUUAUUCAAAAAAAAAAAAGAAAAAAAGAAGCAGAAGAAAACAAAAGAAGCAGAUUGUGUUAGUAUAUGAAAAAGUCAGCUUGCCGAUUUGUGAUCUUAAUAUCGAGAUUUUGGUUAAUAGUUGGACCGUUUGCUGAUAAAUAUGAGCAACCAUUCCUUUUUCUUAGAUUAGUUUGCUUUAAAUUGGAAGAGUUGGUGGUUGGGAAGCUAAUCGGGGUAAUUUUUCUUUGAUCUUGACCUGUGAUGCUUGAUAUAUGUUUUUCUGGAUAUCUUGGCAAUACGGUAGUUGGAGCAAUAGCCAUUGUCAAAUUUUGGUGUUCAAUUUCUGCUCUCAUGCUUGAGGGCAAGUAUGGUUUAGGUGUGGGGGGAAUUGAUAGGGUGUUAAUUGUUAAUAAUUUUAUUGCUAUUUUUCCCCUUUGUCCUUGCCAAAUAUUAUUUUAAUUGUUAACAUAUACUUAUUUUUGGUAUUUGGACCAAUCUACAGGAAGUGGAACUGACAAAUGCUAAAAAGGAGAUUUUAUUGAGAAAAAUCCUUCACAUGCUAGAGCCUCCAGCGGAUAUACAAGUUGGGCCCACAUGGUGUUACAAAUUCGGUUGCUGAUGGGGAGCUCUUAUUAUUGGGAGUUGACUUGUACGUGUAGGAGUCCUCCUACCAAGAGGAAACAAGAAAAAAGGAAUUCGGCAGAGGCCCAUCUUUUGUACUUAGCUUUCUCAAUUCGGUAGGGACCAUGGACUAGAGGUUUUCAUUAGUGAUUGGACUUUAAAAGGGAAGAAACGUAUAGAGGCUUGGGGAUUAUUAUGAUUAGCGUAGCUUUAGUUUUAGUGGUUAGCUAGCGUUUCCUUUUCAUGCGCACGAGGUGCUCGACAAUAUUUUUCAACGGGAAAAAAAAACAUCUUUUACUCUUGCUUUCUAGUGAAAAACUUGAUGCCUUUGCAAUCAAUUAAUUUGCGUGGAGAUUUAAUUAUGCGGCGUGGCUAAGCCUUUCAUCUAGUUAAGGAUCAACUCGAUGGUACAGUCCCAAAUAUCUGUGAGAUCUAAUUAGUUUUCACGCGUUUCUUAAUUUGUUAAUAUUUGCACGUUGCCUAUUUGAAUUUUCAAGGGAUUAUUUUGUUAAUUGGAUGUCAAGGGCCCGAUGUUCAAUAUGGCUUAUUAAUCUCCUUCCAAAUUAGUCAAUUAAAUCCGUAAUUGUUUGAUUGAUUAAUAUUAGUGGCAACUGGCGUGUUUAUACACUAGGGGAACGUGCAAUCUAAUUUAAAUAACGCUCGUAGCGUGUUAUUGAUCGGGGUUAGGUUUUUCUAGUUAUUAAUGCAAUUGAAAAAUUAAUUCCUACGAUCGUACCUAGGAGUAUUUUCUGAUUAGGAAUAAUCAAUGGUCGUACCUUGAUUAUCAAUAAAUAAAAGAAAAAUUGGUCGUUAGAAUUCGUCGGCGACUAUAACUAGCCUAUUAAUAAAUUAAGUGAACCUCCCUUGCAUCAAUGAUCGAGUAAGUGGACUGUGUCUGAGUAGUUGUAUCAUUGGCUAGAAUUUAUCUAUUCUUGAUUUAAUUCCUGCCUAUAUUCGUGCAAGUUAAUUAUUUAUUUUUAGUGAAUUUUUUAAUUAUUUUUAGUUUUACUCCGAUAAAAUCCUCCUUUAUCAAUUGGAAUCUCAAAGAGACAAAUAUCCCCAGUCCUUGAGGAGAUGACUCUACUUGCCACUGUCUACUAUUUAGUAAGUUUUGUCAACUAAUUAAUUCUGAUAUAUCGGAUUAAGCAAACUUUUCGAGAAUAGGGUGAAUCAAGUAACCCAUUACACACCUAGAGUCCCUGCUCCAGUAUUUAGGAUUAAUUAUUGACUGUUUUUAGUGGUAUUUAUAUUUUUAUUAUUAUUAUUGCAUAGGCUCGACACCUGUCAAUUUUUGUGAUGUUGACCCAAACAACAAAGGACGGGUUAUGUGAUGUUGACCCAAAUAACAAGUCUUCACUAGUGAAUGUGAUAUUUGUGAUAUCCACCUCUUUAUUACCAGUGGGCACGUGAGUUAUCUCACAAGGAGAUUCGCGAGUAUCAUCCUUUGUUCUUCAAUAUCAUCAACUUGCGUUGUGUGACAUGAGACCAUAUCAAUAUCAAAGAAUCUUUUAGAUAUGAAUUCUUUUAAAAUGAUAGAAACUCGCGACUUUUGCUUGAAUACUUGAUUUUCUUGAAGAUUGUGAUUAUUAUUAUUUUUCUCUAUAUUCUUCUCUUUUCUCUUCCAGACCAUUCUACUUCUUGUUAAGGCCUUGUUUACCUUAUUAGAUGGACGAGAGUUUCAUCUUCAUCUUCGCGUGAUCAGAGUUCAUCCAUCAUCAUCUACGUCUGAUUGUAAUGACUUCUCAUCUUCAUAUUCAUAUUUUUGAAGAGCUGAAGGGGCGAUUUUUUGUUCAACUUCUAUAGGAUCAAAUGAUCCAAAUUGAAUGGUUGGCAAUAUAGGUAUCGUAAACUUUUCGACUUCCAUGGACUGUAGUGAAUCAACGGAGGUUUGAUUCAUACUUGCUUUGUUUUUUUCAAGAAAAUUUUUUUCUUGUCUUGCCAAAUCCAUCAUCUCAUCUUUAAAGACAAAGUAUUUUUGAAUGGGAUGUCCAACCAAGCAAUGAUACUUGAUUUGGAUCAUCCGUAUUACUAAUCUCGUCAAGUCAGUUCAUCUUGGAAGCAUGAUCAAGUUCAUGCUUAACAAAUUAUCAAAUAUACUAGGAACAUCAGAAUCAAGGAAAUUGUACUUCUUGUUUUGCAUCUCCUUGAGUGUUGGUUUUUUCUUUCCUUCGUCUUGAUGCAUACUGGUUUUCUUGUCUUCUCUUUUAGCAGUUCUGAGAAUAAUCUUGAAAGGUGUUAUACUUGCAGCUAUGGCCUCUUUCUCACUUUGAUUGGGGGCUUGCCUCCUUUCCUCACUUCUUGUUUCUCCUUAGCCUUGCGAGAAUCAGGAAUUGGCGGCUCUUGUCCAUCAAGGUUAAUUUCUAUCUUAUGAGUUUUUGGGGAUAAUUCAUCAAAUAUUUCUGGUUAUACCCCUUACAAGAUAUAUCUGAAUCCCCAAUGCAAGUCUUGAAUACACAUCUCAAUAGCGGAAGACUCGAAAAUUCGAUCCUUACAGUUUAGGCUUAGAUUUUUUCGAGCGAUUGAUAAAGUUAAUAACAUGUUCAUUCUUUCACUAGCACAUAUUUUAGAGUUCAAUUAUGCUGACAGUCCUUUUCGUGCUAUAGAAGCAAUUAAGGAAUUCCUACUCUAAUUGCUCCCAACUGUCAAUGCUGCUAGAUUCUAAAUCUGUGUACCAAUCAAACGUGUUACCCUUCAAUGAGUGAACAAAUUGCUUAACUAGCAAGUCACCAUUAGUGCCAGCAUUGUUACAAUUUUCGACAAAGUGCGCAAUAUGUUGUUUAGGGUUACCUUUGUCAUCAAAUUAUUGAAACUUUGAAAAUUGAAAUCCUACAAGCAUCUUCAAACAUUUACUCUUGUGGUGUAAGGUUUGAUAUAAUUGCUAUAUGACUUGGUAUUUCCACCAAUCUUGUCCUUGAUCGUACCUUUGAUAAACUCCUUUAAAUUAUCAACAUGAAUGGUACUAUCAGGAGAGAUUGAAAACUCCUUCAUUAUUCGUGACUUGGUAUCCUCUUUCUCUUUCUUCCUUGAUGAUGAGUUACCUUCAUAUUUUUUACCAUGGCCAUUAGUUUGGCUAUUUUGGCAUCUUGACUUUGCACGUGCCCUGCUAGCCCUUCGACAAUUUGGCAAGAUUUGAAAUUUGAUCUCUACGGUUGUGGUGUUAGUCAUCAUGAUGGGCAUUACCACAGAAGUAGCUAAAUUGCUUGAGCUAUCAGCAGAUUCAUCAUGGACUCCCUUCUUGUUGGGAAAAAUCUCAAAAUUUUUUCUUUCAACCACAGCAUUCGCCUUAACCCUAUCUACUAAUUUCUUAGCCUUGCUCCUUGUCAUAGGUGUAGUAUACUGCAUCUCCUGAGUUGUUGGGAUGCCAGCAACUGAGCCUUCAAGAGCAAAACUCAUCUUCUUGGACUCCAUUGAUUCUUGAAACAAGUAAGCUAUUCAAAGAAAAGAGAUGAAAAACAGAGAUGGUCCCACCAGACGUGUCAUAAAAUUUGUGAGCAUAAAUUUUGUUGCCUAAAAUAAAGACAAGAAAAUUUGCAUAAAUAUCAAAUUUAUUAAAUCAAAUAAUAAAUGGGUUAUAAUUUUUGAAAAUUCUUGAAUUAAAGAUAUUAAUCUUCUAAUUCUUCUCUUCAAAAACUUCAAUUGAAGGGUUGAAAAGACUUGUUUACCGAUCAAGAGGGUGUUUCCUACGAUUUUGACAUAGAAAACCGCUGAUUUGAUGAUGACGUUAAAUAGUUGAUGUUGGGUUUGGAUUUUAUUCCACCAAUCGUUCAUUUUGUUGGAUUUGAGUUUUAUACCACCAACUGUGGGAUAAAACCCAAUCCCAAUAAAAUGAACGGUUGGUGGGAUAAUACUCAAAUCCAAUAAAAUGAAUGAUUGGUGGGAUAAAAUCCAAACCCAACACUUGUAUCUUUAAAUCUUCAAUGUCGAUAGAAGGAGGAUUUAUUUUAACUUGAUUUGGAUUUGAAUUUAAGGGAAAAUGCUCUCGAGAGAAUUUGACAGAAUUUCUUCAAAAUUUAGAAAUUUCAAUGUGUUUUUGUACUAAGAGAAUACCUUUAUUUAUAGGCAAAAUAUGUAGAUUAUGUCUUCAAGAAAAUUCUCCAGAACCUUCUUGCGUUUGGGUAACUUGUACCUCAAGAAACUCAUUUAACUUAGGUUUAAAUAGUGGGCCUAUUCAAAUAAUCCAUUGUGAAUUAAUACAUCAAUUAAUCCACUUUAAUUUAAAUGGGUAACACAUUGAUUUGAUUUGAUUUAAUAGCCCAUAUAUCAUUGGUCUAUUUUGUCAAUCAAAACAUAAUAGACUGCUAUAAUUUAAUUUAAUGUAAUCAAGAUCAAUUUAAUUUAUUUAAUCUUGACUAAAUAAAUUUUCUUUGUCUACAGCAUGUACGUGUAAUUUUCCAAAUAAUGAUACUUUUCAAAGAGAGUUUUCAAAUAAUGAAAGUUCUAAAACAAGGCAUUCACCGAAUGCGUGAAUGUAUCUUUUUAAACAACGCAUUUAGUCAAUACGUUUUUAAGGAAAAAUGCCUAUACAAAUAAAAGAAUGAAUUCUAUAAAUGUGUCUUUUGAGGAAACAACACAUUUACUAAGUACGUUUUUUCACUCUUUGGGAAGAAGUUCAAAAAACACCACCAUUUGAAAGGUAAUUUUAGAAAAUCCCACUUUUUGAGAAUUUACUCAAGCUUGUACUUGACAAAAUGUGUUGGGAAAAUUGUGACGUCAGGUGAAUUGUAAAACUGUUGUGCCAUCGUAAUGUAUGUUUUGCACUAGAUUGAGUAAGAAUUAUAUCAAAAUAGUCGGCCACAAUAUAGGAAUGUGAAAACUUUGUGUUAAGUAAGUUGUAAUAUUUUUGUAUCAUCUAACGUAUAUUUGAAAACGAUUGAGAAUAUAAUAUAUGGAAACAACAGGUCACAAUGUUGAAAUGUCAAACCUCUUGUUUCAAACCAAAUACUUAUUAAACUCCUUCAUAUCGCUAACGAAUUUUGAUUCUGAAGUAAUAAUAGUUUUAUUUAAUUAUUUGCCUUUUUUGGAACAAUAUUAAAAUGUAGCCAUAAAUUUAAAUUCCAAAAUUGUUGAAUACUUGAGGAAUUCUAGAAAUGGCACUGAGAGUCAAAGUUCACCUUAUUCAAAAGUCACCAGCCAUCUCAGAGUGCAUGUUUCUAUUGAGUUUCAGGUUCAAUGUGUACCCACUUCCACUUUUGGCUGAUCAAUCAGGACUAAGGUUCCGUUUGAUAAAACUGAAUCUGAAUUCUGAAAUCUGAAUACUGAAACAAUUAAUUUGCUGAAUUUUAAGUUCUGAAAAGAAAUAUAUGAAUGUCUGAAUUUUAAUGUUAAAUCUAUUUCUACUGUUUGAUAAACAUUUAUAACUGAAUGCUUAAUAAGUUAAAUUUGACAAAUUUGCCCUUAAUCUUUUCAUCCAAAAAAGAAGUAGAACCUAUGAUUUAAUUAGGUAAAAAUGUUAGGUAUGAAAAUGACAAUAUUUAUUUUUAAAUCAAAUUAAUAUAAAAGAUGAAAUAUAUUAUAUGCGGAGUGGAGAAGAUGUAAAAAUCAUUCAAAAUGGAGAAAAAAGAAAUAGAAAAUCAUUAGAUAGAGAAUAUUAGAUUGUUUAAUUAGAUAAGAAUUUUGAACAUAAUUAACAAACAAUGGUAGAUUUGAUAGAUAAGAUAAGGUAAUUGAAGUAAUUCUAUUGAUUCUUAUCAGAAUUAAGUAUUCAGUUAGGAUUUUUGUGCUGAAAAAAAUACACACAAUUUCAGCACUACUUAACAAGUUCAGCAAAUAGAUUUUCAUUUAUCAAACAUUCAAAACAUCUAAAUGUCUAAAAAAAUUUAGAUUCAACACUUUUUUAUAUUAUUAAACAGACCCUAAGAGAAUAAAAUAACUUGCUUGCUGUUAGCGAUGGCAACGGGGCGGGGUUGGGGCGGGGGACCCCUCCCCCGUCCCCCGCCCCGUUGCCUAUUAGUUCCCCCUGUCCCCCGCCCCCCCCCCCGCUUCCCCCGCGGGGUUAAUAAAAUUUUAUUAUAAUUAAAUUUUAAUAAAUAAUCAAUUACUAAAAUAUCAACACAUCACCAAAUUAUUAUUCAUUGUAAUUUUACAAUUAAAACUCAUAAAAACAAUCAAACAAAAGUUAUUUGAAUACAAUCCAAUAUGAUGAAAUAAAUAUAACUAAAAUAGUUAAGUUUUCGCUUUUAGUACAAAUGCAAUCACUAAUUCAUUAUUGUGUUUGUGCUUUUCUUUUGAGAAAAAAGUGUUAUUCUAUUAAGUGUAAUUAGAAAUUUAGUAUAAAUGUAUUAGUAAAUUUAGUAUAACUAAUUAAUAAAUUUUAUUAGUAGACAUGUAUAAUUAUUCAUAUAAUUGAUAAUAUCAAUUAUAUUACAUAAACUACUAUACAUUAUAUAAUACAUCUAACUAAUAAUAUCAUUAUCAUAAGUUUAUAACUAAUUAACUUACAUAUUAUAUAUAAUUAUAUAUAUAUUUUUUUUAGGGUGGCGCGGCGGGGGAUGGGGCGGGGGUAUACUCCCCCGUCCCCCGCCCCGUUUCUAAGCGGGGGGAAAAAUUCCCCCCCCCGCCCCAACCCCCGCCCCGAGAGCCCCCCGUGGGCACCCGCCCCCAUUGCCAUCCCUACUUGCCGUUUUUAAAAAAGGAUUCAUUAUUUUUUCUUUGAGCAUUGGUAUCUCCACCCUCAAUGACACUAAUCUGGAUUCAAUAUGAGGAGUGUCCGUAGAGGCUGACUCUUACUCGAGAGUAAAGACUUGACCCAGAGCUUUUCAAGGCGUCAUCAUAUGUAGGAGUCAAACUUAUGAACUCUGUGCAUAGAUAAUUUAGCUCCAGUCUGUGGAAUGUCUUGAUGUUAGGUGAGUUGUAAUAUUUUGGUAUCAUCUAAUGAAAUUUUUAAAAGAUUGAGAAAUAAUAUAGAGCAAAACACCAAUUUAUUCCCUAAAUUAUUUUGCUAAAAUCAAAAUACUCCGUAAAUUUAUUUUGAGUCAGUUUAGUCCCCCAACUAUUUUUACAAAGCUGAAAUAGUCCUUAAACUUUAUUAUGAGCCAAUUUAGUCUCUCAACUAUUUUGUUUAAGUGAAAUAGUACCCCACCUUUAUUUAUUUGGCCAGUUUGGUCCUUGUUUGACUCAUCCACCCAAUUUAUCAACCUUGUGCACUAACAAUCAGGGGCAAAAUAAGAAAUUUAGUCAAUGCCCUUACUAAAAUGAUAGAAGAAUUAGAUAUCUGGCAAAAUUAAAAACAAAAUUGAAUCAUAUAGAGAACAAAAAAAUAUAGUGUUUCUUAUGGAGGAAAAAAAUGGAGCUGAUGCCUAAAAUCUCACAUGGAUCCAACUCAGUCCAUUGAAUGGAGAAAAGGGAAAAUAACACAACAAGAAUAUGUUAAAAGUUGGAAAAUGUGCUAUAAUUAUGAUUACUCCUUUAAGAAAUAAAGCUGAAAGAAGCUCAAUUUCUUUUUGUUUUCCAUAUUAUUCAAUUUCGUUGUCGAUUUUUCGAUAGAUGUAUGUUUUUUUUUUUGUUUUAAUAAGGGCUAUGAUUGGAUUUCCUAUUAUGCCAUUGGCUGUCGAUGCUACACUUGAUAAAUUAGAUGGAUCAUCCAAAUAAAGACAAAAUUGGCUAUGUAAACAUUAGUGAGGGACUAUUUCAGCUUAAGAAAAAUAGUUGAGGGACUAAAUUGGCUUAUAAUAAAAUUAGGGACUAUUUCAGCUUUGUAAAAAUAGUUGAGAGACUAAAUUGACUCAUAAAAUGUUUAGGGACUAUUUUGACAUUAAGGAAAUAGUUUUGGGACUAUAAACAUUAGGUCACAAUGUUGAAAUAUCAAAACCCAUGUUUUGGACCAAAACUCAUAGAACUUCUUCACGUCGCUAACGAAAUUUGAUUAUGAAGUAAUGCUAAUUUUAUUUAUUAUUUGUUUCCUUGCUGGUCUUCUGUCUUUUUGGUUAUUCCAAAAUUGUUGAAUAUUUAAACGAAUUCUAGAAAGGGCACUGAGAGUCAAAGUCUUAUUCAAACAGCCAGCUAUCUCAAAGUACAUAUUUUUUUAUUAUCAGGUUCAAUAUGUAUCUAUUGCAAUUUUUGAAUGACCAGCCAUGACUAAGAGAAUAAAAUAAUUCACUUGCUGUUUUUAGAUAUGAAUUCAUGACUGUCAGUAGUCUAUAAAUACACUUAUUGCUCACCACUCUUUGCACCGCAAAAUCUCUUCAAGAUCCAACAAACCCUCCUGUUCUUGGUCUUUGUCCAUUUGUGAAAAAACAAAUUAAAGCGUCAUGGCCCCUAUCACUUGUAGUGCUGAGAUGACCUCCCCAAUCCCUCCUGCAAGGUUGUUCAAGGCCGCCAUCCUUGAUGACCACCCUUAAUGCCACAGGCUAUUAAGAGUGUGGAAAUCCUUGAAGGAGAUGGUGGCGUUUGAACCAUUGAGUUGAGCACAUUUGGUGAAGGUUAGAUGUUAUAUUAAAUGUAGAACCCCAAAUUUAAGGAUCUAAUAAUAAUCAAUGCGUGCAGGGUUACAGAAUUGGAGGGAUAAAACAAAUACUCAAAAUAUACGUGGAAGAAAAGAAAAAUAAUAAAUUCAACUCACAAUAUUAUUGAAAUUUCAAACAAUGAAGAAAAUCAUACCACAAUGAAUUCAACUGGUUCUAAUAAUAAUCAAAGCAUACAAGGUUACAGAAUUAAAAGGAUAAAACAAACACUCAAAAUAUAUGUGGGAGAGAAGAAAAUAAUAAAUUCAACACACAAUAUUAUUGAAAUCUCAAACAAUGAAAAAAGUCACACCAUAAUAGAAAACCUUGCUAAUGCUUCUAGAUUCUUUCUCUUGAGAAACCAACCUAAAUAAUGUUCUAUUUAUAAUCUACCAAACUUGUUAGGAAAGAAACCACUUGCAUAAGAAAUUACCAAAUAAUACAGAAAUUCCUAAAUCACACAACUACUAAAAACAUAACUCAAAUAAAACUAAAAAAUAAAUAAAUAUUACUAGGCUUAGUUUAAUUUGUCAACAUUGCCUCCUUUAAACCAUACUAUCCAUUGAGAUAGGUUCAACACCAUCUCGAGCAAUAAUUUCUAUGCAAAUCUAUGUUGUAGUACACUUGACAUGAAACUCUAACUUGUUACCAGUUAUUAAUUUCAUUUUUACACGUAACAGUGGACACACUAUGUAUUGUGUAAACAACUUCUCAGCAAUUUCUUCUUGAUCAAAGAACUCACUUAUACAAACCCAUUCAUCACCAGAAUCACCAUAUUUACCACCAAUGUAAGUGCCUAAAAAUACAAAAUCAUAGAUUUCUUUCUCGCUAAAAUUAUCAUCACCAAAUAAUUCAAAAUAACCACUACUACAAUCAUCCAAAAUUUUCAUACUGUCAGUCAACUCUUUUGGAGUAAAAUAUUUUUCAACUCCGAUGACAUCCAUAUCUAUUAAAUCAAACAUUCUCCCAUCACUUUGAAGAGAGUCCGAACCAACGAAUUUUUCAACAACAAUUUCAUGUUCUCUUCUCUUAUCAAAUCAAAAUUUUUUUCUUCUUUUGUCAAAUUACCAUAUUAUUUUUUUCAACAAAUUCAUUACUUCUAAUUUCUCCAAACAAGGUACGCAAAUCAAAACUAUCAAUUGAUUCAAAAUUUUCGAUAUCACCCAUAUUAUCAACAAAUCUAUCAUUUUUAAAAUCCACAAACCAAUACCAAUAAAUAGACUUCGGUUUGAAAGCAUAAUUUCUCCCAAUCGUGUGCAAAACAUAGUAAAUAUCCUUCCAAAAUCUCUAAAGUAUUUUAAUUAGUACGACCAAUAAAGGUUUUAUAAACACUUUUUGCCAUUAUUUUACGCAUCACUUGAAAGAAUAAUUGUGCCUUUUUCUUAAAAACAUGUUUUGACAACUUACUUGCAUCAACCCAACAAAGAAUAUCAUCCAAAUUACAUUGUUUAACAUAUUUUUCCACUAUUAAAAUCCAACCAAAAUAUGUAUGUCCAUUUGUGCUUAUAGGAGUCAAUAUGAAAAAUUUUUCACCGUGAAUCAGAUCUUUAUAAUAUUCCAUUAUUUAACAAUUUGUAUACCUGGAUAAAUUUUUUUCCUCCAUCCUGUCAUGUUUUCUUGGCCUCCCUGGUUGACUAACCAAAUUAUUGUUGUAUGUAUACCCAUGCUCGUCAAACCUCAUUUGUGUACACUCGUAAGGAGUGGUUCUGAGCUUCUUGUGAAUGCUCAGUACCAAGAAGUAGAAGAGAGAAUGCAUAAGAGAGAAUUAACUUGGCUAUAGAAAUAGGAAACAAUUGAGGGAUUUUUUAAGAAAUUAAUUCUCCAGCUACCACUUUUGGAAAUUUUCUAUCAACAACUAGUUACCAAAACACUAGCACAUAAUAAGAAAUCAGGAUAAUUUCAGAAACCUCCCUUGAGGCUUUUAAUAACCUCAAGAAGCUCCCCUCAAUAUUUUAAAAUUACACGUACCUUCCCUAUUGGUGCAAAAGUACUCUACUACCCCUAAUAGGAUACUCAAAAGACUUUUUUUUAUGGGAAAAAUGAAGCUCAGAAAUCCAAGCAAAAUCAAAAAAAUCAAUUGAUUUUCUCUUUUAGCCUUUUACACUUUUGCCUUCUACCUUUGCUCACUUUCCCAUCCCAAUCUUCCUACACCCGCUUUCCCAAUCCCCUUUCCCCAACUUUUCUCCUCUACUUCAAGACCAAUUUUUGUCUAUCUAUCCUGGCUUGUGCUUUGUUCCAUUCCCUUCCCUUCUCCUUCUUUGAUUUCGCCUACAUCUCCCUUUCUCUUUGCAAAAGUGACUAGGCUCAUGUCUCUCUUUUUCCCCCCUAUUCUAAGUGUAGUGGGUUUGAUUAUUUUGCAUCUAUUUUAUUUGAUUUGGGUUGAUUAUGGGUGAUAGAACUUGGCGAUGUCAAAUAUCAAAAGUUUGAUAGAUGGAUAUUGGGCUUUAGACAAUGAUUUGCUGAAAAAAAUGGCUGCAAUGAGACAAAGAGGCAAGGGGAUUUGAGUGUGGGGUUGAUUGUUGAUAAAUUGUUGUUUUGGACAAAAUUUGAGGUUGAGUUUUAUUAAAUUUGAUAGCAAGUGGCGAGUUUUGUUCAGGUUGCGGGAAAUAAAUUAGAUUGUGGUUUCUUGGGCACCCACAGUUGUUGGAAUUGGUUUUGAUUCAAAUUAGGGUGGUUACUUGAUUUUCCUAAUAGUGUUGCUUAAAAGCACACGAUCAUCAAAAUUCCUUAUUUUUAUCUUUUGUUUUUUCUUGUAGAAAAGAUUUCACGACUUUCGUGAUAGUCUAAUUUGGAAGAAGGCAAUCAAGGGAUGCAAUCAACAUUUAGCAAAAGCUCUUGUUCUUUCCUUUGUAAUUUUUAGGGUAAAAAGGGUAGUUUAGGGUAUUUGAAGGAAAUGAUAGUCUAUUGGGUCUAUUUUCAAGCAUAAAUAGUGAACGUAAGGGAGGUUGGUGUAAUUUCUGAAACCUAAGGGAAAUUGUCUGAAAUUGUUCGAGACCUCAGAGGAGGUUUUCGAAAUUAUCCCUAAGAAAUCAAAUGCGAAACUUGAUUAGUACACGCACACACGACACCGCACCACGCCGCGCGUGUGUUGAGGAUUGGUGUCCGUAACCAACGACAAGCAGGUUUUCAAUUUUUUUUUCCUUUCCUGGAUUCUCCAGAGAUGGUGUCAGCUUCUAUUAUUGAUGAGCAGGAGGAAAUCCACAAUAUACAGUACACAUCACCCAUAUUCUUUUUAAUUGAACAAUGUAUGAAAUUAUGGUGAUUCGAAAUUAAAUUAUAUGUUUAUUGGGCACUGAAUCCAAAAUAAGAGUUGGAAAUGUAUUGUGACAACAAUUGUUAACAUAGGCCACAAAUGAUCAAAACAAAUAUUUAAGGUUUAAUAUGACAUUAUGGGUUCAGAAUAUAGUUACUUGUUAUGAAACAACUAAAAGUAUGGAUAUCCAUUUGUAUUUUCAAGAGGAUCAAUUCAUAAUUCAUUGCUCCCAAGAGGAUUAAUUCAUAAUACAUUGCUACAUUAUGUAAAGGAAUUGCAUUGGAUGAACGGUUUCAAUCCAUAAAAGCUAUUUAUGUAUUGGAUGAACCGUUUCAUAUGGCUAUUCAUGUUCUUGUAGUAAUGAGUGUUUAAUAGAAUUGAUGUACCUUUAAUUUUGUAGUACCUAUAUAUACAGGUACUUUGGCACCUCUUGGGUAUACUUUUUGAUUAGUUGGAAUAAUAAGAAAAUUAUUCUUCAUUUCUGUACUUCUUUCUCUAAUAUUUCAAUUCCUAUUAUAGUAGUUCAUUUUUUUUAGUUUUACAACACGUUAUUAGCAUGAGUCUCUACUUUUGAACAAAAAGGUGAAAACGGAGCCUCUACCUUAAAAAAAAGUGAAACACGAGAUUCUGCCAAAAUUUUGCCCGUAUUUUUCCGGCAACUUCUGUCCACUUAUUGAGAAAUGGAUGCCAAAUAUUUGGGAUUAAAUAAUGGUGAUGAUGAUAUUUGUCUCAUUGAUAGUGCUACUACGCACACUAUAUUGAAAAAUAAAAAAAAAAUUUCUUGUAUGAAAAUGGGAGAGACAAAUGUUAAUACCAUAACUGGUAGUGCAAAAUUGAUUGAACGCUCCGGAAUAGCCUCUCUAUUUCUUCAUGAAGGGACUAAAAUUGUCGUAAAUAAUGCACUACUGUCUCCCAAGUCUCGGAGAAAUUUAUUGAGUUUUAAAGAUAUCUGCGAAAAUGAAUACUAUAUAGGGAUAAUGACUGAGACAAAUGGAGAAUUUUUAUUAAUCACAAGUAUCAUUUCUGGGCAGAAAUGCGUAGUAGAAAAAUUACCUUCUUUUUCUUCUAGCUUAUAUUAUGCACAAAUUAGUGCAAUUGAAAUUUAUCACCUAGUAGACCAGAAGUCUACUCAUCCCAAUAAUUUUAUGAUUUGGCAUGAUCGUCUCGAAAAUACUGAAUCUAUAAUGAUGAGACGAAUAAUCAAGAAUUUACAUGGUCACUCAUUGAAAAAUUAAAAGAUAUUAAAAGCAAAUGAAUUCUCCUGUGUUGCUUGUUCCCACGGAAAAUUAAUUAUUAGACCAUCACCAGUUAAAGUUGGGACUGAAUUCCCUACAUUUCUAGAACGAAUUCAUAGUGAUAUAUGUGGACUCGUAGAUCCACCAUGUGGACCAUUUCGAUAUUUUAUGGUGCUAAUUGAUGCAUCAACUAGAUGGUCACAUGUAUUUUUAUUAUCUACUCGCAACUUGAUAUUUGCGAGAUUGCUUGCUCAAAUAAUUAAAUUGCGAGCACAAUUUUCAGACUAUCUAAUAAAGAAAAUUCAUUUAGAUAAUGCUGGUAAAUAUUCGUCACAUGCUUUUGACAAUUAUUGCAUAUCUAUUGGAAUAACUAUUGAACAUCUUGUAACUUAUGUUCACACACAAAAUGGUCUAGCCGAAUCAUUUAUUAAAUGGUUACAAUUAAUUGCUAGACCAUUGUUGAUGAGGUCUAAACUUCCUUCAUCUGCUUGGGAAUAUGCUAUAUUAUAUACAGCAAUACUUGUGAGAAUUAGACCGACAAGUUAUCAUACUUAUUUUCCUCUAUAAUUAACUUUUGGUUAUAAGUCAAAUAUUUCUCAUUUACGAAUAUUUGGUUGUUCGGUUUAUGUUCGAAUUGCACGGCCCCAAUGUCGUAAAUUGGGUCCACAAAGAAGAUUGGGGAUAUAUGUCGGAUAUAAAAUCACCUUUAAUUAUUAAGUAUAUGGAACCAUUGACAGGUGAUUUAUUUACUGCAAGAUUUGCAGAUUGUCAUUCUAAUGAAUCACAUUUUUCGACAUUAGGGGGAGAUAAAAAUCAAUCGAAAAAGAAAAUCACUUGAAAAAUAUCAUUCAAUUUUCUCGAUUCUCGUACCAAAGAAUGUAAACUAGAAGUUCAAAGGAUUAUACAUUUGCAAAAAAUUACAAAUCAACUACUGGACGUAUUUAAUGACUCCAGAAGAGUUAUUAAAUCACAUAUUUUUAUUGAAAAUACUCCGAUUAAAAUUAAUGUCCUUGAAGGACAAAUUACAAGUGUUAAUGAGUGUAAAGUGCGCCUGAAGCGUGGGAGACCUCUUGGUUCUAAAGAUAAAAAUUCUCGAAAGAAAAGAGAAAUUGAUGAAUCAACAAUUAGUGACAAAAUUCAACCUCCUGAAGAAGUCGCUCCUAAAGAGCCAAUUCUUGAAGAUAAUGAAAUUAUAGAAAAUUCAAUAAAUUUUGUCGCUUCAGGAAAAAGUUGGAACAAAAAAAAAUUAUUAAUAGUAUUUUUGCAUAUAAUGUAGCACUUGUUAUUAUGGUAGGUAAUGAAGAUCGUGAGCAUAGAUCGGUUGAUGAAUGUCGACGUAGAAAUGAUUGGCCAAAAUGGAAAGAUGCGAUUCAAUCUGAAUUGGACUUACUAGCUACAAGAAAAGUUUUUGGGCCUGUAGUCCAAACACCUGAAGGUGUAAAGUCAGUAGGAUAUAAAUGGGCAUUUGUGAGAAAAAGAAAUGAGAAAAAUGAAAUCGUGAGGUAUAAAGCAAGACUUGCAACCCAAGGAUUUUCACAAAGGCCUGGAUUUGAUUAUGAUUACACGUAUUCACCUGUAGUGGAUGCUAUCACAUUUAGAUAUCUUGUGAGUUUUGCAGGACAUGAAAAAUCAGAUAUGCAUCUAAUGGACGUCGUUACUGUAUAUUUAUAUGAAAAUUUUGAAAAUGAUAUUUAAACGAGAAUCCCUGAAGGAUUCAACAUGCCUGAAGCAUGCAAAUCAAAUUUUAAAGAUAUUUAUACUAUUAAAUUACAAAGGUAUUUGUAUGGGUUCAAACAAUCUGGACGUAUGUGGUACCGCCUCAAUGAAUGUUUAACUAAAGAAGGCUAUACCAAUAAUCUAAUACAUCCAUGUGUCUUUAUCAAGAAAAAUGGACUAAUUUUAUGAUAAUUGUUGUCUAUGUUGAUAAUCUUAAUCUGAUUGGAACUCUUGAAGAGAUUCAAAAUAGUGUUGAAUAUUUGAAGAAGAAGUUUGAAAUCAAAGAUUUUGGAAAAACAAAAUUCUACAUUGAUUUACAAAUUGAGUGAUAGGUUGCAAUUUUAUCAUUUAUUUUAUUAUUAAUUUUCCCUAUUACUUAACCCAAUGUGAAUUAAUUAUUAGAUUCUACUCACUUUUAGUAUUUUACAUAUAUUUCAGGGAGUAGAACGAAAAUACCAUAAUAAGUGCCGAUUUGACAGUUAUCAGGAAAGAGUUCAAGUAGCAGGCAUCCAGGGCAUUUUUGGAACAAGGAGAUACAAGUCCUUUUUGGUAAUUCGCAGAGCGCAGCAUUAAAAGGAGGAACGAAGGGCUGAAGUAGGGAGUCUUCUUCCCCCUGGGAGGAACCGCCGCACAGCAGAGGGCUGUCUGGUCCUCUUAGUUUUUCCGUUUCUUUAGUUUUAGCUUCGGAUUUUGACUUUUCUUCUCGUAGGAAUUUUGGGUAGCCUUGAGCUUAGCAACUUUUGUUGACCCUUUUUUGGCCUUUUAGCUAGUUUGUUCUUACGCAUGGAAGAUGGCUGAAUAGCUGAGGCUUGUUCUUUGUUUUUCUUUGACUUUUCCUUUUGGUUUGCUUCCUGCGGACGCCCAGACCGAAGGAAAACUAUGAAGUCCCUUUUGUAGCUUUCUCUCUUUAUUAAAUAGACGAAUUGAAUUCCCUCAACUUGCGAAUUGAUGGCCGCAGCUUUUGCUUCAAUUUCUUGUGGGUUUAGUUCAUUAAUUAUGAACUAAUUCUACAAUUCUAGUCAAGGGGACAACUGACGAUUUGGUUCGACAAUUACUGUGAGAUCGAAUCUGUUUUAAUUAUUUUCUUCAUUUAUUGGUAUUUAUAUGUUCCUUGAUUUUAAUUGCUAUGGCCUUGUGUAUGAUUGAUUAGUGCGCAAUAAUUAAUUAUUCAUAUAGGCUAUUUUGCUAAAUAGAGGUAAUUGAAUCCGUAAUUGUUCGUUAUCUCUAUCUUAGUAGCAACUGGCGUAAUUGGGUUUAUGUCAGGGGAGCAUAUGAUCUAGCUUAAACAAACCCUCGUAGCGUGUUUGUUGGUUAGGAUUGGGCCUUUCUAAUUAUUAAUGCAAUCUAGAAAUUAAAUCUUACGGUCGUACCUAGGGUUGUUUUUGGGUUAGAGAAAUAGCUAACGGUCGUACCUUAGCUAUCGAUAAAUUAAGGAAGGGUUGGUUGUUUAUCGCGUGCAUGACAACUAUAACCAAUCUAUUAAUAAAUGUUGGGAUUAUUUUUGCAUCAAUGAUCAGUGCAUGAACCAUUUCUGAAGUAUACCCUUGGCUAGAGUUUCUCUUAGUUAUUUCUUUUAAUUAAUUAUUUUCUGCAGUUAAUUUAUUUAGUUAGCAUUUAAUCCAAAACCCCCCAUACUUUGGACUCUAAAAGAAACAAUUACUCCCAGUCCCUGUGGAUUCGACCCUGCUCACCGCUAUCUACAGAAAUCACUUUUAGUUUGAGCAGGUAUUUAUUAUUGCACAGGCUUCGACGACCUGUCAAUCUUUGGCGCCGUUGCCGGGGACUGGUGCCAGAUUAAAUUGUUUCUUUUUGAGUUUAUCUUGUUUUCAUUUUUUUAAUUUAUUUUUCUCUUAUUUUUUAUUAUUAUUAUUAUUUUUUUUAUGGCUGCUAACAUUCCAUAUUUUGAUGAUAGACUGGAUUUUGUUCCUGAAUGGGGUUAUGAGACUCAUGUUUUUCCUAACGAUCAAUGGGCUGUUGCAAAUUGUGGAACUUAUUUUGACUCAAGUUAUUCAACUGACACAUGCCCCGUAUUUCAAGAUAAUUUAAGUUCUCCACUUGAUACUUUUGGAGAUUUUUCACCCCAAUAUCAAACGUGGUAUGACCCUUAUUCAAACGGGUAUGAUCAAGGAUGGUGGGAUAAUUCCAAUUUUGAUUAUGCGACCGGGCCAAUGGAUUUUCAACAGCAAGAGUCUCAGCAAUCAUCCUCCGUGUCAGGUAUGUCUCUUGAAGAAAUGAUAGGUUUACUAAUUGCUAAUUCAAAUCGAUUUCAUCAGGAGACACAAGCGAGCCUAAAUCGAUUUCAUCAGAGGACACAAGCGAGCUGUCGCGACCUGGCGGAUCAACUGCGUCAAUUGACAGCCAGGAUGCAGCGAUUAGAGGCUCACCUUGAAGAAUUGCCCUCGCAAACCAAUAUCAAUCUUGAGGAAGAUGAGAGUGCAAUUGUCCGGGCAAAUGACAUGGAACUGCAAGAGUUUCAAGAAAACGGAUUUAAAGAUGCAGUUGAAAAGGAAGCUGAAGUGCAAGAAAUGAGACUCCAAGAUCAACUCGUUCAAGUGAAUGAAUCCAGUGAACAAUCUCCAAAUGCGGUGACAUCUUCUCCACUCCUUAAUCAAUAUUUUCCUGGCUCCUAUUCUUCAACUCCUGUUACUGAAAUUGAUUUUAUUAUACCAGAAAAUUUAAAAUUUCAUGACAGGAAUAAGUUAAGAGUGGAGAUGGCAAAAUAUCUUGAACCAAUGAAUGCGUGUGAUGGAGGAGUGAGUGGAGAAUGCAGAUCAUUGUUGACUUGUUUAGCGCCAUUUACUAGUCCAUGGAAGCCCGUAACUCGUGUGCCCAAGAAUUACUCCAUCUAUGAGGGUUACCAGGAUCACGUUGAAGAUGAAGCAUUGAAGCGAGCCACAAGAUUUUAUCCUCCAUGAGCAAAACAUGAUAAUGUCUAGCCAAAGACAUUAAAGAAAGGCGCUCAUUGGGAGGCAACCCAAUUUCUUUUAGUUGUUUGUUUGAUUUUAUUUGUUAGUUUAAAUCUGUCUUCCUUGAAUUUGACUGAUUUUGGGUGUUAAUUUUCGUUUUUACUGAUUUGUAGGUGACCUUCAGUCAUGACGCGCCCGCGUGGUGACGUGCAGGAAGCUCACGAUCAGAAACUUCUGGGAGCUCUCUUACCCUCAUGACGUGCCCGCGUCAAGUCACCUGGAGAGUUCCAGAUUCCGUGCCUUCAUGGUGUGCCCACGUCACGUUCACGGGAGAGAUAAGUAUUUAAAAAAAAAAUUCAAAAACGAUUGUUGAUUGUUGGUUAUCUCUGCUUUUGAAUCUCGAAAAUAAAAUUUGCUAAUGAAAAUAAAUUUCAAAAAAAUAAAAAAAAAUUUUUUAAAAAAAAAAAUUUAAAUUUUUGUUUCACGGUAGCUUAGAUUUUCAAAUCCUAAAAAAAAAAAAAAACACAGAAACUCUUUCUUAUCAACGUAGCUUUAGUGUCAAAUAUUUUAAAAAAAAAAAAGUCUCAAAUGAAAAAAAAAAAGGGCUUUUCUUUUUCUUUCUUUUCUUUCUUUCUUCUUCUUUCUCUUUUCUGUCUUCCUUCUCCCCUGUUUCUUCUUCCUCUCUGUUGACCGAAGCCCUCUGUCCGCCGCCGCUGCUGAAGCGCCCUCAGCCGUCGCGCAGCAGCUCCUCACUCGAAGACGCCGCGGCCACAGCACCUCUGCACGCGGCCUCCACCUCUCCAUCGCGCGCCGUCAAGAGCUCCGCCGACCCACGACGCGCGAGGCACCAGCUCGCGCGCCUCCCCCACCUAGCAACUGCUGGCCGACCAGCCCCACCACCAGCCCGCGCCGCACCUGCUGGCCGACCUAUCAACUCCUAAGCUCGCGAACCUCCUCAGCUCAGCUCCACCAGCGAGCUGCUCCUCGCUCACUCCAUCGCGUGAAGACCAGGCGAGCACGGCCCGCAGCCUCUCACCGCCACUGCGCACCUCUGACCAGCUCGCAGCACCUCUCUCUGCCCUCCGUGCGCUGCCCGCGCGUGGCACCAGCGCCUCCACAGCUCGUCGACGAAGCCCAAGCUGACAGACCACGCCGCUCGUCCACUUCCACCACUCGCGACGCACAGAUCAGCGCUGCCGUUGGUUGCCCAACCUCCCUGGUGCCAGGUUUUUCUUACUAAUUUUGUGGUCUACGAUUCCAAUUUCUUGAUGAUGGGAUUUUUGAUGAUUACGAUUUCAUUGAGUAAAUUUGAUUGGCUUGCAUCUGUGUUACUGGAGCCCGUGGGUUGGGUUAUGACCUGCAACUGAUUUGCCUAGUCUAAUAUAAUUGUCAUUUGUUUGGGCUCUUGAAGUACUGUCUAGUGUUGUUUGUAUUUCUUAGUGAAUUGAGUUUGCCGUUUGAUUUCAUUCUUCCCUGUGCGUACACCAGUGGUACUGGUUGUGGUAGUUGCCUAACAUUUAUUCAUUCUCAUUGGUGUGGCUGUUGGGAUUGAAAGCUCAGAACUUGUGACUAAGUUGUUAUUGCCUAAAUGCUGACCUGCUAUUACUAGACUUGCUGAUUUCUUGGGAGCAUUUGUUGGGAUUUUGGGUGGAUAUUAGCAAGUGGUAUAUUGCUUGAUUUUUUUUACCUGUGCCUUGCUUGGAGUUUCUAGUGCAUGUUUGGGGCUGCCUUGGGAGUUAUUUGCCACAAUUGAUUGCCGUUUUGGUUUCUUCUGUUUCUGGUACUGCUUGUGCUGAUGGAUUUAUCAGUGUUUUGGGCGGCUUAUUUGAAUUGCUUCUUCCCUGUGUGUUUGGUCAGCUGUUUGCUUGAAAACCCAAACCCUUGUGCUUAUAUUUGCUCCCAGUUGAGUUAUGUGUUGGACUUUCCAAUUGGUGACAACUUUUGGGCUUUAGGGGUGAGUUCAUUUUGUCAUUAUUUGCUACCUUGUUGGGGUCAUUUUUGGUUUCACCUGAGUCUAUUGUCCUGCCUUCUGUUUUGAGUCCAUUGGAGUGACGUGAGUUGAGUAAUUUCUGCUUUUGUUUGUUGAUUUGGAAGGCUACUGUGCCACUUUCAUUGCUUAUUGCUUAGUGAUUAUGUCUAAUUAACAAUGUGCAUAGCAUGGCGCAGAAUUUGGCAGCAUUCAUGUAGCAUGCCGGUCUUAUACCUCAAUUGGGUACCUCUAUUUGGUUGGCUGCGUUCUUAUUGUCCAAUAUCUAUGCUGUUUUCAAUGGAAUUGCUGAUCUUGGGUUAAGACUUUAGCUGGCCAACUGGAGCCAUUUGUUGAGAUUUUGGGUGAACUGCAAUACUGCACUCGUUUGUUCAAUUGGGAGGUUUCUUUUGGUAUUCUGGUUGAGUUAUUUCUAAAGUUGCCUGAUGAAUUGAGAGACAUAGAUGGCUAUUGCUCUGCCCUGAUAUUGCUUGGUUGCCAGUGCGCAUUCUCUAUGCCAAGUGGCAAGGAUGUCUCAGAACUCGGCUUCCCUCCACUGUUCCCUCCUAUCCCUUAGCUGUUCAGCAGGGAAGUCUCGUUAUCCUCUUCGCUUUAAUUAUUUUAUUACCUCCAUUGAGGACAAUGUAGGAUUUAGGUGUGGGGGGAGCAGUUAUGGUGCUAGUGUCUUUCGUUCAUUUUCUUUUUCUUCUUUUUAGUGAUUGGCUCGUAAGUGCAUGCCAAGGUUUGAUGUUGGAUUAUUGCCUCUAUUUCUACUUUUGCCAAGUUUUAAUAAUAAAAGGGUAUCAAGUUAAUGUGGUUGAAUCCAAAAACAUCUCUUUGGUGAAUAUCAAUAAUUGUUUUACUCUUAUAAUUUUUUGGUUAACUUUCCUAGGCAUAGGGAAUGAUUAUUGGCAUUUUUAGUGAAUUGGUCCGGUUAUUAACCUUAGUUCUCCAUGUUUGAAAAUGAGGCUAGCUGAUGCAAGUUUUCUUUUGGUUCUUGUGUUAUAUUGAGUUUUUGUGAUUUUUAGCUCUGAAUAAACUUGACUGUACUCCGCUAUUAGUUACUACUGAGUAACCGGGGAUCUGCACCUAAAAGUGUUGAUUCUCGCGUCAAAAGAUAGUAGUUCCUAUGAGUACGUGGUCACGUGGCGAUAGAAGCUGAGUAACCGGGCUCCUUCAUCUGGCCAAUGUUGGAAUUCGCGUCAAAAGGCUCUAAUGGCUAGCGACUAAGUCUUUUGUUACUAUUGAAAAAAAACGAGAAAGAAGAAGAAGAAAAAAAAAAGAAAAAAAAGAGAAAAGUAGAAAAAUGUGAAAGAAAAAGUGAAUGCUGUGUUAGUGUAUAAUAAAAGUCAGCUUGCCGAUUUAUGGAUUUAAUGUUGAGAUUUUGGUUAAUAGUUGGACCAUUUGCUGAUAACUGUUAUGCGUCAUUCCUUUUUCUUAGAUUGGUUAACAUGAAAUUAGAGGAAUUUAUGGUUUAGAAGCUAACCGGAGUGAUGUUUCUUGGACUAGACCAUUGAUGCUUGAUUAUUAUAUUUUCUUGGUAUCUUGGCAAUAUGGUAGAUGGAGUAAUAGCCAUUGGCAAGUGUUGGUGUUUAUUUGCUGUUCUCAUGCUUGAGGACAAGCAUGGUUUAGGUGUGGGGGGAAUUGAUAGGUUGCAAUUUUAUCAUUUAUUUUAUUAUUAAUUUUCCCUAUUACUUAACCCAAUGUGAAUUAAUUAUUAGAUUCUACUCACUUUUAGUAUUUUACAUAUAUUUCAGGGAGUAGAACGAAAAUACCAUAAUAAGUGUCCGAUUUGACAGUUAUCAGGAAAGAGUUCAAGUAGCAGGCAUCCAGGGCAUUUUUGGAACAAGGAGAUACAAGUCCUUUUUGGUAAUUCGCAGAGCAGCAGCAUUAAAAGGAGGAACGAAGGGCUGAAGUAGGGUCUUCUUCCGCCUGGGAGGAACCGCCGCACAGCAGAGGGCUGUCUGGUCCUCUUAGUUUUUCCGUUUCUUUAGUUUUAGCUUAGGAUUUUGACUUUUCUUCUCGUAGGAAUUUUGGGUAGCCUUUAGCUUAGCAACUUUUGUUGACCCUUUUUUGGCCUUUUAGCUAGUUUGUUCUUACGCAUGGAAGAUGGCUGAAUAGCUGAGGCUUGUUCUUUGUUUUUCUUUGACUUUUCCUUUUGGUUUGCUUCCUGCGGACGCCCAGACCGAAGGAAAACUAUGAAGUCCCUUUUGUAGCUUUCUCUCUUUAUUAAAUAGACGAAUUGAAUUCCUUCAACUUGCGAAUUGAUGGCCGCAGCUUUUGCUUCAAUUUCUUGUGGGUUUAGUUCAUUAAUUAUGAACUAAUUCUACAAUUCUAGUCAAGGGGACAACUGACGAUUUGGUUCGACAAUUACUGUGAGAUCGAAUCUGUUUUAAUUAUUUUCUUCAUUUAUUGGUAUUUAUAUGUUCCUUGAUUUUAAUUGCUAUGGCCUUGUGUAUGAUUGAUUAGUGCGCAAUAAUUAAUUAUUCAUAUAGGCUAUUUUUUGCUAAAUAGGGGUAAUUGAACCCGUAAUUGUUCGUUAUCUCUACCUCAGUAGCAACUGGCGUAAUUGGGUUUAUGUCAGGGGAGCAUAUGAUCUAGCUUAAACAAACCCUCGUAGCGUGUUUGUUGGUUAGGAUUGGGCCUUUCUAAUUAUUAAUGCAAUCUAGAAAUUAAAUCUUACGGUCGUACCUAGGGUUGUUUUUGGGUUAGAGAAAUAGCUAACGGUCGUACCUUAGCUAUCGAUAAAUUAAGGAAGGGUUGGUUGUUUAUCGCGUGCAGGACAACUAUAACCAAUCUAUUAAUAAAUGUUGGGAUUAUUUUUGCAUCAAUGAUCAGUGCAUGAACCAUUUCUGAAGUAUACCCUUGGCUAGAGUUUCUCUUAGUUAUUUCUUUUAAUUAAUUAUUUUCUGCAGUUAAUUUAUUUAGUUAGCAUUUAAUCCAAAACCCCCCAUACUUUGGACUCUAAAAGAAACAAUUACUCCCAGUCCCUGUGGAUUCGACCCUGCUCACCGCUAUCUACAGAAUUAAUUUUAGUUUGAGCAGGUUUUAUUAUUGUACAGGCUUCGACAACCUGUCAUUGAGCAUUUGAAAAGUGAAAUUUUUGUCCACCAAACUGCUUAUACCCGGAAGGUAUUAAAGUAGUUUUAUAUGGAUAAGGCAUAUACAUUAAGUACCCCAAUGGUCAGAUCAUUAGAUCCUAAUAAGGACCCUUUUAGACCGCGAGAGGAAGUUGAAGAGAUACUUGGUCCUAAAGUACCAUAUCUCAGUGCAAUUAGUGCACUAAUGUAUCUUGCUAAUUGUACAAGACCUGAUAUAUCAUUUGCAAUAAAUUUAUUAGCAAGAUUUAGUUCUCGCUCACAAGACGACAUUGGAAUAGUAUUAAACAUAUUUUUUGUUAUCUCCAAGGAUCAAUUGAUCUUGGCUUAUUUUAUUCAAAUAAAUCUAAACUUGAAUUGUUUGGUUAUGUUGAUGCUGGAUAUUUAUUUGGCCCACAUAAAGUAAGAUCUCAGACUGGUUAUCUAUUUACAUAUGGAGGUACAACCAUUUCUUGGCGAUCUACAAAGCAAUCAUUAGCUGCCAUUUCAUCGAAUCAUGCUGAAAUAAUAGCAAUUCAUGAAAUUAGUUGAGAAUGUGUUUGGUUAAAAUCAAUGACCCACUAUAUCCGGAAAAGUUGUGGGUUAUCCUCCGAAAAAGAAAAUCCUUCAACUAUAUUAUAUAAAGAUAAUGCAGCUUGUAUAACUCAAUUGAAAGGAUGAUAUAUUAAAAGAGAUAGAACGAAAUAUAUUUCACCAAAAUUCUUUUUUACUCAUGAUUUACAAAAGAAUGGUGAAAUUGAUGUGCAACAAAUCUGAUCAGAUAAUAAUUUGACAGAUUUAUUUACCAAUGCAUUGCCAACUGCAAUAUUUAAGAAAUUGGUGAAGAAUAUUGGAAUGCGACGACUAUAAGAUCUCAAAUGAUAUUUGCAUCCGGGGGAACAAUCAAUACACAAGAAUAGUGUACUCUUUUUCCUUCAUUAAGGUUUUUAUCCCGUUGGAUUUUUUCCUAGUAAGGUUUUAAUGAGACACAUUCUUUGUGUAAUGGACAUCCAAUGGGGAGUGUUAUGAAACAACUAAAAAUGUGGAUGCCCAUUUGUAUUCUCAAGAAGAUCAAUUCAUAAUUCAUUGCUUCCAAAAGGAUUAAUUCAUAAUUCAUUGCUACAUUAUAUAAAGGAAUUACAUUGGAUGAACGGUUUCAAUCCAUAAGAGCUAUUCAUGUAUUGGAUGAACCAUUUCAUAUGGUUAUUUAUGUUCUUGUAGUAAUGAGUGUUUAAUAGAAUUGAUGUACCUUUAAUUUUGUAGUACCUAUAUAUAGAGGUACCUUGGCACCUCUUGGAUGUACUUUUUGAUUAGUUGGAAUAAUAAAAAAAUCAUUCUCCAUUUCUGUACUUUUUUUUCUAAUAUUUUAAUUCCUAUUAUAGUAGUUCAUUUUUUUUUUAGUUUUACAACAUUACUCAAAGAAGAGGGUUAUUGGACUAUAUGUUUAUUGACCUCUACUAGGGAUGACAAUGGGGGCGGGUGACGGCAAUGGGGGCGGGUGACCGCGGGCACCCGUCCCGCGGGGGGCUAAUGGGGAGAGGGAUGGGGCCGGGGCGGGGGGUAGGGGAGUGUACCCCCGCCCCAUCCCCCGUCCCGCUACCCGCUUUAAAAAAAUAAAUAUAUAAAAUAUAUAUAGGUAUAUAAUUAUAUAUAUAAUAUAUAAUUUAAUUGGUUACAAACUUAUGAUAAUAAUAUUAUUAGUUAUAUGUAUUAUAUGAUGUCUAUUAGUAUAAAUAAUAUAAUUGAUAUUAUUAAUUAUACUAAUAAUUAUAUAUGUGUACUCAUACAAAUUAUUAAUUGGUUAUACUAAAUUUACUAAUACAUUUAUACUAAAUCCCUAAUUACACUUAAUACAAUAACAUUAUUUUCAUAAAAAAAACACAACCACAAUAAUGAAUUAGUGAUUGUAUUUGUACCAAAAGUGAAAAUUUGAUUACUUUAGUUAUAUUUUUUUCAUCAUGUUGGAUUGUAUUCAAAUAAUUUUUGUUUGAUUGUUUUUAUAAGUUUCAAUUGUAAAAUUGCAAUGAAUAAUAAUUUGAUGAUGUGUUGAUAUUUUAGUACUUGAUUAUUUGCUAAAAUUUAAUCAUAAUAAAAUUAUAUAACAAAUUUUUAUUAGCUCAGCGGGAGCACCCGCCGGAGAAGCGGGGCAGGGUGGGGACGGGGCGAGGGAAGCGGGGGAUGGGGGAGGGGUCCCCCGCCCCAACCCUCUUCCCCAUCUCCCGCCCCGUUGCCAUCCCUAACCUCUACUAACUUAUUUAAGGUCAUUUUAUAUCACUAUCCAAAGAAGAAUUAAGGUCAUUUUAUAUCACUAUCCAAAGAACAAUUCUUGGGCGUUAACAUUUUUCUUACAUGCCAAGACUAUUAAUGAAAGUUGACCCAAAUCUCUCUCUCUCUUUCUCUCAAUUCUUAGGACUGAUGCCAAUUCUUACCAUUUAGAAAGAAAAAUUAGAUUGUUUAUAUAUAUGAUGAGUUCCCUCUAAGUCAUGGUUAAGAAAAAUUCUUAGUUAGACGCAGUUUUAUGAAAUGUGAAUUUCCUUUUCUUUGUCUUUAUUCGUUAGUAUUAUUGGGGUUAUUGUAUUAUGAUUGCAAUGCACAGAUACAUGGAUUUUUGACAUUUUUUUCUCAUUUUUUCUUUUUAAUUGACUCUGACUAUGUCUCAAACUCGAGACAUCAAACCUGGAGAAGACUUUUGUCCAAAAUGCUUGUAAAAAUUCAGAAGAAUAAUGUUGGACCUUAUUAUUUAAUAAUGGUGCAAUUAUGAGAGUCAUUCCUGGUUUAAUUAUCAACAUCAUGUCAUUAUUAUUUUUUUGUUUCAUAGAAAAAUAAAGUAUUCUCCGACUCGACAUUAUCAUAUUAUUUUCAAUUGGCAGCUUUAAGUGAGAAAGGCCGGUGAAAAUUUUGGGCAUUACUAGUUUAUUUAGGCCUCACGCGCUCCGUGAAGGUGCCGACGUCAUCUUCGUUUUAAUGGAAAAAUUUGAGCGCGCUUUGAUCAUAAGGAAUUCACAAUCAUCGGGCCAACAAAGAAAGCACUAAAUGGUUAAAACAAACCAUGCAAAUUUGCUCAGCACUUAAACAAUAGACUCCUAAACCGACCAUUUUACUGUCUUGCCAAAAAAGGGCAUUAAAGUAAAAACAACCCAUGCCUAACACAACUAACAAACUUCAGCACCUUCACUUCACUGCCACGUCAUCAACAACAUCUGUAAAUUUCCAAGGAAGUCCACGCACUAAAGGUGCCAUGGGGGACCUCAGGUUAGUGUUCUUAACAUCAACUCCUGUCUUUAUAUUCUUAGGAAAUAUUGAAAUUAAACAUUAUAACUAAUCCUGAUUUCCUUAUGCUGUAUUUGUACACAAUUUGGCAACUUGAUAAAAAGUUUGUUCCAAUUUAUUCCAAUUUAAUUUGUCAGCUAGUCGAAUCUAAUUUGAAUAGUAUUUAACUUUGAAAUUUGAUAAAAAGUUUGUUCAAACUUGGUUUACUAAAUAAACAAGUUAAGUUUGAACAAAAUUUCAAACUUAUUAAAAUAAUUAAAUACGUUUGAAUACUAGGGUAUUCAAUUUAAUUAGACUCGUUUGCACCCAUAAUUAAAGCAUGCACUUUUUUAUAAAUUUAGGAAUCAACAUUAUCUAUUUGAUAGCUAGCUAAUGGCCCAAAAAGUUAAUUGCCUUAAAUUCUUUUAGCAGCCAUAAAGUAUAGUUGGAGGGAUUCCCUUGAAAUUGAUUAGAUUCUUCUAUGUGACUGUGACGUAUUACUAGUCCUACCCAAAAAAAAAUGGUAUUACUAGUCCUUUUUUCUUUUUGUGGCGUGCCACCGCCGUAGGGGGCGGGGAGGGCAGUCAGUGCGAGAAUUCUAGAUGGGGUAGAAGUAGCCAAAGUUCACCUUAUUCAAAGUAAACAACCGACAAUCUCAGUUGUCGACUUUCCUGUCGAUUGCGUAUAUAUUACUAUCUUUUACCAUGACUUUAGAGGAUACCUAAUUUUGCUUGCUAUUAAAUAAUAAUUCCUGGCACCACAUAAUUCUUUCAAGAACUACCAAAACCUUCUUGAAAUCCCUCUUUUUCCUUUUAGUUCAUUUCCAAGAAACAAAUUGAACCAUCAUGGCCCCUGUCACUUCCAGUUAUGAGGUCACCUCCUCAAUCCCUCCUGCAAGGUUGUUCAAGGCCACCAUCCUUGAAGAGAAGCAUCUUCACAAGAUCUUGCCACAGGGCGUUAAGAGUGUCGAAAUCCUUGAAGGAGAUGGUGGAGUUGGCACAAUUAAGUUGACCACAUUUGUUGAAGGUAAGAUAUCAAUACAAAGUGAUUAUUUUCACACAUUUGAAGUCCUCAAAAUGUUCUUUUUUUUUUUUAACAUUUUAUUUGUGGGGGUAAGUAUGUAUGUAAGCCCUAAUAACCUUUUUUUUUUUGUUGGGUUAAAUAUUUAGGUGGCGAGCUUAAGACUGCCAAACAGAGAGUUGAUGGAAUUGACAAAGAAAAAUUUACAUACAGUUAUACUGUACUUGAAGCUGAUGGAUUUAACGAUGUAAUCGAGAAAAUCUGUUGUGUCAUCAAAUUUGAACCCUCUGCUGAUGGAGGUUCAAUCUGCAAAACCACUAAUACAUACUACCCCAAAGGUGGUGCUCAGAUCAGUGAGGAACACCUCAAGGGAGGAAAAGAGAAGGGUUUGGGAAUGGUUAAGGCUGUUGAGGCUUACCUCCACGCAAAUCCUACUGCCUACAACUAAUUAAAAUGAAUGCUACUGAAGGACUCUUCGACAUAUUUUCUUCAAGAUUGAAGUAUAAA
rnacentral:lncRNA from 1 species